CAGAUAUCUGUCUGGUGCAGGUCAGGAUAUAAUGACAUUAAAAAAAACUAAACCUAAGGAUCGGAUUGCACUGCAAGUCAGAUCAGGUUGGUUUCGCAAUGCUUCUACCUCCCCAUGACUUUUUCUCCCCUCACUCUUCUGACAGCCCACUCCUCUACAAUGUAUUUUUUGCCCCUUUCCCUCCUAUCUUUAUUCACACCCCUCUCUGCCCUUUUAUCCUCCCUUCUUACUCUGUCAUGUUUCUUUUUUUUUACUUUCUUCCUUGCUCUGUUUCUUUUUCAGUCUUUUAGCAUGUCUCUUUAUUACCCUACCUUAACUUAAGUUUGCUCCCCCAUUUAGCUUUCUUUUCCCAACUCCACUACUUACCCUUUCCCCCCAAUCUAUCUGUUUCUGUAAAUAUUCCCCCCUCUCCUUCCCGUACACACCAGUAGAAUACAGCAGGCUGUAAUCUUUACAAAAAAUGAAAUGGAGUUUAAGGGCUUUUUUUUUUUUUUUUGGCGCCAUAUUAAUGACGUACUUUAAAAUAGCAAUUUUCUCCUGCGUCAAAAGUAAUAACAAUAAAAAAAAAAACAACAAGAUGAAGACGAAUUGGUGUUGAGGAAGUAGACAGGAGGGUGGCGGGAUAGAUGGCAGAGGAGGGGCUAAAGGGGUGGGGGGCAGCACGCACAUUGCAAGUGCAAGUCCAAGAUCCAGUGAAUAGGGAUGUUCUCAUUAUUAUCGUCAUUUCUUACUCAUAGUGUGCUUGUUCAUGUUAUACCCUAUCGAUCUGCAGUAGUUAACCCGCGACAUUCCAUUUAGAAUCCCUGUUACGCGUUGUUGGACGUUCUGGGAAGGUCCCAGCAUGAAGUCUAUACUGGGAAAAUAGCCAUGUGUGCUGUAGGGUGCUGAUGCUGAUACAAGAGAGUAAUGCCAAAACUUACAUCACUUGGGACUCGACAUUUUAAAAUAGCGGUUAUAGUUUUUGUCGGUUUUUUUAUUUCGUGGUUCUUUUAGCCCAAUCAUAACGUGGACAUGCAUACACGAUACUUUUGUGAAAUACAAUAAAAUAGUCACUGUUUAUUUUUCAAAGUUAACAUAAUAUAAACAAGAAAACAGAAGGUAUUAUAAUAAAAUGGAUUGAAUGAUUACACUCCCAGGGCUUUGUGUGGUGAUAAUAAAAAAUAAUAAUUGUAAAGCAUAGUUGUGCCUCCAGCUAUAAAGCUAUAGAAGUAUUUUACUAGCCCUCAGCAUUAUCUGUUACAUAACAUGUGCAGGUGUUUCCUCUGCUCCCUCCCGGGACACGGGGAGUUAAUAAGUGUUAAUAUGGUAGGAGGAGGCCAGAGAGUACAGCUCGGGCAGGCGAGUUUGGGGUGGAAGGGCUUCCAUUGGGGAAGGCUGUGGGAGUCAGCGGAUGCAUUCACGGGGCGGGUUAAUGUUUACAUUAAUUUGCUCUCUGGGGAUUACUGCGAUGGUUGCUUUCUAGCUGCCUGUGUGAGUGUGGAUUGUGUCAGGAGCUAACAUGGGCCCUGAAGUCACACCCACCAUUUCCCGCUUUGCUGCCUGUCCCCACGGCCCUCCCUUCUGUAGCCCUCAUCCUGCUCAGGGACUGUACACAGCCCAGCAGGACCAGCUUUUAUUAUUAGGGGGAUGCUGGGGGUCAUAAGAGUAGUAAUACAAUAGCGAGAUGUAGUUAGGUUUGCCAAAACCAACAUAUUUUCCUGGGCACACAUCACUAAACCAUGUUGAAGGGCAGUAUAUUAAAACCGUGUUGCACUGUUGUAUGAGGCAUUCAUAUGUUGCAGAAAUGAAUUCAGUUACUCUCUUAGGACCAGCCUUAGGUAAUCCUACAUAUUUCAGAGCAGUCCUCUAUGAGUGAUGUCAAUCAAUACUGUACGUAGAAGUGAUGUAUGUCCAAAAAAAACAUGGUGAGUUUGACAAUUGUAGUUGCUGUUCAAGGAACACUACACCAUAACUACUAUAGCUUGCUAUACUGGUUAUGGUGCUAAGAGUGUCCUUCCACCUUCCCAGGAUAAAACAUCAUAACUGUUAAAGGGACACUGAGUGCUUGCUGAAGUGCUUUGUAUGUUCUCUUUUUCCAUUUUAUAGAAAGUGCAGAUUUCAAUAGCACGUGGCACCCUCCCUUCCUUGGCUGUCAGUCGGGCAAAAGAUCCUAUUACAUCUUGAUUGUUUAGCUCAGUGGCGCUAAAUCCAAGACACAACAAUUGCCCAGAGCUGAUGACUUGCAAAGCUUUCUAAUUGAGCUGCACUGGGAAGUCUGCAAUUCUACAGUCACAGAAAGUCUUGGCUGGGGAGAAGGAGAGAGCUUGCAAAUGCUAUAGACAAGAGAUCUGCAGUUUUGCAAGCUGGUUUUAGAUAUAACCCCAAAUGGAAAAAAAAUGCAUUGAUUCAUUGAGGUAUACCUACUAAACAGUGUUUAUUUUUUUUUGUGUUUGGUCAGUGAAGUGUCACUUUAAGCACAGCUGAUGCAGGACUGCCCCAUUGAAUAGUGCUUAGAUCAAUCUUGCCUCUCCUGUUGGAGAAGACCGGAUGUGGUGGACUCAAGUAAGUUGUAAAACUAUCUUGUUUACCAGCUCACUGCAGGAUGGUGUCAGAACACACCUGGCAUCAUAACCACAACAGCAGGCUGCAGUGGUUAUGGUGCUUACAGUGUUCUUUAAAGAUGCUCAAAGCUAUACCACGUAAUUCUUGCAGGAGGCUUACAGGUUUUUUUUUUUUUUUACUAACCGCCUCUCCAAAUCAGAUGUGAGUUUCAUUUAUUAACUGGACAUUGCAGGCAUAAAAAAAAACCAUAUUAAAAGUUGACAAUUGCAAAUGUAUAUGUGUAUUCAUAUGCAUAUUUCUAUUUGUAUUGUGUUUGAAUCUGUGAGUAUCGUGAUUGUACACAGCUGUGUAAAUGCAUGCAGUGGUUAUGGUAAGGUAAAAUGUGGUAGAUGGGAUGUGCCAGGGUUAGAUUACACGCAGUACUUGGUGUUAAAAGAUGGAGAGGCGUUAGAUUUGUGAUAUAAGGGGUGUUUAGAAUUAUUGGGCUUAAUUUAGUAUUUGGUACAUGUGUUCAUUUUUAAGAGAAGUUAAGGUGAAAUCUUUUUUUCUAGGUUUAGGCUUUGAGUUCUUAAAAUUGAAGGUAAGUUUGUUUUUAGGUUUUGGAUUUGUCAAAUUUGUCAAAUUUAGGAUAAAGUGUUUAGGGUACAGGCAUAUGGUGUUUGAUGGAUUAUUUGCCAAGUACUAACCACAGCAGCAGGAGCUGAUAUAAAGCAUGCACCAUUCAGAGAUUCCCACGCAAGCAUUUCCUGUGUGAGUUGUUGUUAGUGCGCUCAUGGGAAGUGCACUUGUGACACCACUGAUUUUUACACUCUCUAUACCUGUUCCUGCAGCUCUGCUAUCAAGCAUAGGAUGCUGACUGGACUAGAAAGGACACUAGCCAAAGCUCCUGAUAGUAAUCUACCCGCACGUAAGUGCUUUAAAUAAGCGCCCCUAUAGGACAGGUGUGUACGCUGCUUAAUGGUAGUGUCUUCAAUCACUGCAGAGCAAGCCUAUGAAAAGUGCUGCCAAGCAUUGGGCCCAUACAUAGAGGUUUUCAGAAGCACUCUUAUGGGCUGCCCUGAGUGGGGUAGAGUGGCGACCGGCGCAUUUAUGAGUCAUCCUUUACAGGCAGGCCCACCUUUCCCACAUCCGAUUGUUGGGAGGUAUUUCCUAAUUUAGUGAAGAACAUUGUUGAGACUAGGGUAGAGACAUUCUAUUUGCCAAACAGAGCAUGAUGUGAGUUGUAGCUAAAGUGGCUGCAUAGCCAGAGUUUUUCCUCAACUACUCUUUGCAAAUUGCCAGCAAUUGGAUAUUUACUUAUCUUUAUAUAUUAACUUUGUAUUAUUCACAUUGUUAUAGUAUACUGAAUAUGGUGGGUAAAUCUGCUGACUUUUAAAAGAUCAGUCAGUGAAAUAGGGUAAAAUCAUAUGCUGAAGAAAGUAUCUACAAGUAUUGUCACUCUUGUAGCAGUAAUAAACUACUUAAAGGGACACUCCAGGCAGCCAGACCACUUCUGCCCGUUGGAUUGGUCUGGGUGCCAACUCCCACCACCCUUAACCCUGCAAGUGUAAUUAUUGCAGUUUUUAUAAACUGCAAUAAUUACCUUGCAGGGUUAAGUCCUCCUCUAGACCACUAGAGGGACUUCUGUGUUCUUAAAACACGAAAAGUGUUUUAAAUAACGCUGGACGUCCUCACACUGUGCAUGAGGACCUCCAGCGUCGUCAGAAUCCCCAUAGGAAAGCAUUGAAUAAUUCUUUCCUAUGGGGAGGUCUAAGGCGCACGCAGCCAUUCCCACGCUCCUCUCCUGCCGCCGGCUGACGGUGGCAGGGGAGGAGCAUGGGUGGAGCCUGACCCUGCGCUGGAUUCAGGUAAGUCACUUAAGGUUUUUUUGGGGAGGGAGAGGGGCACUACAGGAUUCUGCAGUGCCAGGAAAACAGAUUUGUUUUCCUGGCAUUGGAAAGUCCCUUUAAAAUUUUAAUAUAUUCAGUAAAAUGAAUUGUGAAUUCACUAUGGAAUUGUAAAUCUGAGGGCAAAAUGGCUCCAAGUUGCUGAAGGGGUUAAAACCACUUCAGUGACAUACCAGAGUCCAGCGCCGCCUACUCUCCGGGAGACAAUGGCCGCGCACGCACAUUAGACCUCCCUAUAGGAAAGCAUUAUUCAAUGCUUUCCCAUGGGGGUUUUGGCAACGCUGGAGGUCCUCACAUAGCAUGAGGACGUCCAGCAUCUUACAACACACUUUUCGUGUUCUAAGAGCACAGAAGUCCCUCUAGUGGCUGUCUGAAGGUAAAUAUUGCAGUUUCUGAAAACUGCAAUAAUUACACUUGCAGGGUUAAGGGUAGUGGGAGUUGGCACCCAGCCCACUCCAGUGGGCAGAAGUGGUCUGGGUGCCUGGAGUAUCCUUUUAAGGACCAGGGCUCUUUUUACAUUUCUGCAGUGUUUGUGUUUAGAUGUAAUUUUCCUCUUACUCAUUUGCUGUACACACUCAUAUUAUAUGCCGUUUUUCUCACCAUUAAAUGGUCUUUCUAAAGAUACCAGUAUUUUCAUCACAUCAUAUAAUUAAAGGACCACUCUAGGCACCCAGACCACUUCAGCUUAAUGAAGUGGUCUGGGUGCCAGGUCCAGCUAGGGUUAACCCAUUUUUUUAUAAACAUAGCAGUUUUAUAAAUGGGAUAAUCCAGCCCUCAAAUCCUCUAGUGGCUGUCUCAUUGACAGCCGCCAGAGGCGCUUGUGUGAUUCUCACUGUGAAAAUCACAGUGAGAGUACGCAAGCGUCCAUAGGAAAGCAUUGUAAAUGCUUUCCUAUGAGACCGGCUGAAUGCGCGCGCAGUUCUUGCCGCGCGUGCGCAUUCAGCCGAAUGGGAGGAGAGGAGGAGAAGAGCUCCCCGCCACCCAGCGCUGGAGAAAGGUAAGUUUUAACCCCUUUCCUCUCCCCAGAGCCGGACGAGUAUGUUUUCCUAGCACUAUAGUGGUCCUUUAACUAUGAUGAUAUUAUAAAAUAUGAUGAAACAAAUUUAACAAAACACACUUUUUCUAACUUUGACCCCCAAAAUCUGUUAAGCAUCUACAACUACCAAAAAACACCCAUGCAAAAUAGUUUCAAAAUUUUGUCCUGAGUUUUUUUUGUAACGUUAUAGGGCUAUAGGAUACAAGUAGCACUUUGCUAUUUCCAAACUUUUUUUUUUUUCUCCAAAUUAACACAAGUUACAUUGUAACACUGAUAAAUGCCAGGAAUCCCUGAAUAACCCUUCACAUGUAUAUUUGUUUUUUUAAAAAGAAGACAACCUAAGUUAUUAAACUUGGGGUAUUUUGACUCUUUUCAUGCAACCAUUUUACCACCAAUCUAUGCCAAAUUUAAAAAAAAUAAUAAUGAUUGGUGAUUUUUUUGACACACAUAGCAAUUUAAGAAUACAUGUACGGAGAACUUUAAGGGUUACUGCUAAAGAACACCCCAAUAUGUGUUCAGCAAAAUCUCCUGAGUACAGUGAUACCCCUCAUGUAUAGGUUUGUCGAGUUCUCUGGGGGCUAAAAGACCUUAUUUGGAGGGUGCACAUUCCAGUUUUCCAACUUGGAAUUUUCACAGCUGGUCAUCAUGCACCCAUGUCCUAUUUGGAACAUUUUUGAAGCUGGCCAAUGUAAUUUAUCCCCAUCAAACCCUAUAUUUUUGAAAAGUAGACACCCUAGGGCAGGGGUAGGCAACCUUUUAGCAGCACUGUGCCGAUAUAGGAUAGUGAUGUCCCGUAGCGUGCCAGGUGUGUAUGUUGCCGAAUUCUGUUUGUUGUUAUUUUUAUUGUAAUUGCUUUGUAUCAUUGUAUUUGUGCGUAUAUGAACUAUUAUAUUGUAUACACAUGAAUGUGGGCUGUGUAUGAGGGCUGCUUGUGGAAUUGUGUGUGGAUGGAUAUGUCACAUUGUGUGUUUGGUAGUGUGUGUGGGCUGUUUGGGAUAUUGCAUGUGAGAGGCUGCAUGUGGAAUUGUGUGCAUGUAUGUGAAUUGUUAGCGGUGUUGCGUUUGUGGGGAUUAUGUGUAUGUUUAUGUGUGAGCUGUUCGUAUUAUUUGUAUGAGGGGAGGCUUAUUCUGCAGGUCUGUGGAUAUCUAGCUGUGUGGGUGGCUUCCCUGGGUUCCAGUAGGGACCAGGCUGGCCAGAUACAGGUCAAGAGCUGCAACAGCAGCGGCAGGCUGCUCUACUACAGUGUGGAUUCCUAUUCACAAGUGCUGGGAGGAACUGAUCUGAGAUCACUUCCUCUACGUUCUGCAAUGCAUAAAUUGAGGAUUUUCCUUCACCACCUUUUCGUAUUAGCAGAUAUCUGAAGUUUCACUGAGACUCCUGAUAGGCCAGAGCCUGUUUGGCCCUAGCAGCCUUGAGUGCCGUGGAAAGAAACCUCGAGUGCCGUGCAUGGCACUAGUGCCGUAGGUUGCCUACCCCUGCCCUAGGGUAUUUCAAAUGGUGGUAUUUUAACAUAUUUUUUCCAUGCACUAAUUCUACCACCAGUCUUUUUCAAACUUUUAGGUAGUAGUUUUUUUGUGUUAUUUUUCUCUCACAUUGUACUUUAGGCAUGGAUUCUCAGUUCCUGUUAUGUGUUACUGACAAAGAACACCCCAAUAUGUGUUCAGCAACAUCUCCCUAGUACAACAGUGCCCCCAAUGUACAGGUUUUAUGGGUUUUUGCAAACUUACAGGGGUCCAAUGUAGGGCUUGUCCAUGUUUGCACAUUGAAAUUUGACAGAUUGGUUUGCUGGGCCUAUGUUGCCUUUGACACAGUAUAGCAGCCCAGGAAUUAAAAUUAACCCCAUCAUGGCAUACCAUUUGUAAAAGUAGACAACCCAGGGUAUUCCAAAUGGCGUAUUUCCAGUCUUUUGUAGUAGCCACUUAGUCCCAAAUGCUGGCCAAAGUUAGGGUUUUUAUGUUUCAUGACAAAAACUGUAAUUUGUCAAUGCCUGUACUAGCUAAUGCCCUUGAAAAAUAAAGCAUGCGGAUUUUCUUUGCCAAAGCGCGACAGAAAGGCCACCAAACGUGCAGUGACACCGAGAGGAACAAGCAGGCACUACCCAAGCGACAUUAAGAGCACCUCCCAAUUUCCAAGAGUCAGAGGCCUACACGCACGGCAGGUGCGGGAGAGAGACAGAUGCUUUCCCGACACCGCGACAAGCUGCAUAUCUGACAAAAAGCCCUCGUUCCGCCCUUUUUUGACCGGCGGGGGUCAUCCCAGGCCGCCCCCACGUGACGAGCACUCACCUCAGAAAUGUUCCAGGACGCAACUCAGACAUGCAAGAGCCACAAGGCCUAGCCAAGACGGCACUGCGGUUCACACAGUGAAACAGACUUCCAGCGACUGGGCAGCAGCCUUCCAAGCAAAGUUCGACGAUGUAUGCAGGCGAUUCUGUAAGCAACUGGAGAGUAGGAGACAGCCUGUUAGUAACAAACCCAAAGUACCCACUACGAGACGGCCGGCCAGGGCUACGUCCUGUACAGGGCUAAGCAAUGGGGUGCUGCUGGAAAGACCUCAACCUGGCAAAGCUACAACUGCACCAUACUCCACUAUUGUCCCGCCCGGGAUUAGAUCCACACGGGGUUGACCCCCCAUAACCAUCCACACCUGCGGAGGAAUGCAAGACACAUGAUGAAGCGUCGGGUAGCAACCCUGCGCAGACCCCCACCGCGGAAGGACUUGGCACCAAAGUGGCACAGAGUCCAGGGUACAGUGGUACAGGCUCCUGUAAGAACCCGAGGCUGGAGGGGUACCUCACCCAGAAAUCCACUCCAAACCUGCAACCAAGACCUCCAGACUAGGCAUCAGCUAGGCGUGUGUGGACUGACUUACCAAGCUACUUAUAGCCUUAGCCCACGUACACACUGUGAGAACUUUGUAUUUCCUUAGAUGUUAUUUUGCCUGUUAGCUAACUCCUGGUAUAACCUAAUACUAUUUGCCUAGUUCCAGAAUCCCUCACCUGUUAACCUAGUCUAAGAAGUCUAUGCUAGCACAAUCCUGAAUGUUUAGACAUAACACCUGUUUAUAGGCUUGCAGAAACUGUUAAGCAGACAUAUGACUUCAACAUUGUAACAGGCACCACAGCACAAGCGUGUUUGAUAUUACCAAUAUGGGAUAUGAUAGACCAUGUUUAAGUAACCCUUGCAAACAAACUCCUGAGUGAUUAGUGUAUACAUAUGCCCAUGACCAUUCACUCGUCUACCCCAUUGUACAGCAUGAUAUGUUGCCAGAGGAAUGCCGUUGGUGUACCUUAGGCCUGUAUGUGCCUACCUUAUGCACUGAAAAAAUUAAAAAUAGAGAAUGUAAAAAAAAAAAAAAAAUGUGAAGAGGAGCGACCUAUACAGAGGUCUUUGUCAAGCUAAACCCAAGAGACAGGCAAAUGCCCAGAUGAACAACACAUGACAUAUUACACAGUGUCAUAAUUUAUUUAACCCCUUAACCCCUUAAGGACACAACUUCUGGAAUAAAAGGGAAUCAUGGCGGAAUAUUUCCGUCAUGUGUCCUUAAGGGGUUAAGGACGGAGCCAAAUGUACAAGUUGUGAUCAAAACAAAAUGUAAACGAACCACAGAAUUUGACUCUAUGUCUGUUCAACUAUAAUUUACCUCUUUCAUAUUAAAUGCACCCACAGUUAUUACAUAUUGGUUUGUUCAAGGGAAACAGGUCUUUCAUUCCAUAUCAAACAUUCAUAUAUAGAGCUCCAUUUUAUAUGAAUAAAAUCUAAAAACGUUAAAACAAAUUAAGAAAUUUUUAUAUUUUUCAAUUUCUGAAUGUCAAUUUAACUGAUAAUGUCACAAUACUGUUUGGUUUUACUGCAAUAAAACAAACAUAUUUGUAUUCAGAAAUGUCUCAUGAGUAAAACAGUAACCCCCAUGUAUAGGUUUUAUAGUGUUUUGGAAAGUUACAGGGUCAAAUAUACGUCUUGUUUAUUUAUUUAUUUUUUACAUAGAAAUUUCACAGAUUGGUUUGCUGGGCCUAGGUUGCCUUUGAGACUGUAUGGCAGCCAAGAAAUGUAAGUUACCACAUCAUGGCAUACCAUUUGAAUAAGUAGACAUCCCAGGGUAUUCAAAAUGGGGUAUGCCCAGUCUUUUGUAGUAGCCACUUGGGCAUAAACGCUAGCCAAACUUAGUGUUUUUUUUUCUUCUUAAUUUUUCAAAUAAAAACUGUACUUUUACUGAUAAUAUUAUUGUCAGUAUAUAGUUUACUGCCCCGAAACACUCCUAGUUCUAUUAAGUGAUGUCUCACAAGCACCACGGUACCCCCCAUGUAUAGGUUUUAUGGGGUUUUUGAAAGUUACAGGAUCAUAUAUACGGCUUAUCCAUUUAUGCUUUUUCACAAUGAAAUUUGUCAGAUUAGUUUGCUGUGUCUAGGCUGCCUUUGAGGGCAUAAACGCUAGCCAAAGUUAGUGGGGUUUUUUUUUUUUUUUGCGUUUUUCACAUAAAAACUGUACUUGUACGGAUAAUAUUAUUGUCAGUAUAUAGUUUACUGCCCUGAAACACUCCUAGUUCUGUUCAGUGAUGUCACACAAGCGCCACGGUACCCCCAUGUAUAGGUUUUAUGGGGUUUUGGAAAGUUACAGGGUCAAAUAUACGCUUAUCCAUUUUUGGUUUUACACAUUGAAAAUUGGCAAAGCGAUUAUCUGGGCCUAUCUUGCCUUUGAGAGAGCAUGGCAGCCUGGGUAAUAACAUUUCCACUAUUAUGGCAUACCAUUUUUAAAAGUAGGCAACCCAGAGUAUUUCAAAUGGUGCAUUUUAAGAUGUUUGAUCUAACCACUUUAUCAGAAAUGAAGGGCCCACACAGCGGUAAUAGUUUUAUUUGUGCUAUUUUCCACACAUGAACUCAUUUUUCACAGGACAUUUCCUAUUCCUGGUAUGAGUUAUUGCAACAAAGCCUCACUAUUUUUUUUUAACAUUGCCUCCUGAAUAUAACAGUACCCCCAUGUACUGGAUUUUCUGUUUUUUUGGGGAAGUCACAGGGACGAAUAUAUUAGAUGUCUAUUUCAAAGUUGGAAAUUUGACAAAGAGAUUUGCUGGGCCUGUGUGGCUAUUUAGAGAGCAUGGCAGCCUGGGUAAUACAAUUUCCACCGUUAUGGCAUACCAUUUUCAAAAGUAGGCACCCCAGAGUACAACAAAUGGUAGACCUUGAGAUGUUUUGUCUAGCCAUUUUAACAGAAAUGAUGGGCCCAUGUAGCAAUUUCUACUUUUUAUUUUUGUCGUUUUAAUCACAUAAAUUGCAUUUUCACUAGAAAUGUCAUAAUCCUGGUAUUUGUUAGUGCACUAAAAACCUCAGUAUUUUAAUUUAACACUGUCAUCUGAAUAGAACGAUACCUACAUGUACAAUGUUUCCAGGUUUUUAGUAUAUCACAGGAAUAGUACAGUACCCCCACAUACACUUUGAUCUGAAGGCAGAGAGAGGCAGAUAGAUCUUUGACUCAGAUACUGUAGCAUUAACCUUUUGAUUAGUUUUUUGCUUUUUUUGUGAAGGCACAUUUCAAGUACUACAAAUGUAGUAUUUUGAGUCGUUUGGUCUAGCCACUUUAGAAUGGCUAGCAUAAACAGGGACAGACCAAGGUCAGGGGAAUCCAGAAGUCAGAGUAGUCGGUAAAACAAGCCAAUGGGUCGCUACAGGCAGCUAACGAAGCGUAGUCAGGACAAGCCGAGGUCAGGGAAUCCAGGGAAAUCAAGCAAACAAACUGCCAAAGUACCAUACAGAGUGAUUUAGUAAUUCAGCUCUGUAUGGUAGACUUUGAAACAGUCUGUUAUGCAGAGGGCGGGUAGGGAUGGACAGGAGGGGCAAUAAUAACUGGAGUCCUUUCGGACUCCUCUUUUCCAGCAAACACGGCAUUUUCGUUAGGGUGACCUUUUACAGGGUGUGGAGGGGAUUCGGGAAGGGAAAUGUUUGCUGAAAAGUCGUUGGACAUCUUCUGAUUCCAAAGGAGGGUUAGGAUUUGGGGUCUGGGCAAAUAUAAUUUGAGACAAAAUUUGGACCAUAAACUCUAGAAAUGGGCAUGGUCUACCUAUGGCUUCCUUUUUAUAAAGCACAUAGGCAUUGAAAAUUGCAAUCUGGGUUAUGUAGAUUGCAAUUUUCUUGUACCAGGUCCUACUCUUCCGGUUCACCAGAUAGGGCUGUAUGCACUGAUCAGCCAAGUCUACUCCCCCAUAAACCUGCUGUAGUGUACAAUGCACUUCGGUUUCUCCAGCUGCUCAGUUCCACCUCUCACAGACACCGGCACUGAAGUUUCGUUGUGCGUUGUAGACAACAUGUACACAUCUGUCCUAUCGGUGAAGCGAAGGGCAAGCAACUCAUCCUGGCGGAGCGCUGAAAGGGAGCUUCUACUGCGUCUACCUCUUGCCAGGGUUUGGGGGAAACCUCUACGAUUCUUAAGCACUGUGCCACAGGCUACGGUCUCAAAGCAAAAUAGAGUUUUAAAUAACUCUAUGCUUGUGCAAUAGUUGUCAACCCAUAGCCUGUAUCCCUUAUUUAACAAGGAAAGGAUUGGGUCCCAUACUAUCUUUCCACAUGUACCCACAGAAUCAGGGCAUCCUGGUGGGUCAAGAUGGCUAUCCUUCCCCUGAUAAAUACAAAACGCCCAUGUAUAUCAAAAUUUGGAUUCACACAAUUUAUAAAAUUUUACAUCGUAUCGGGACUGUUUAGAAGGGAUAUACUGCUUAAAAAGUAAUCUACCCUUAAACUUAAUUAAGGACUCAUCUAUACAAAUAUUUUCUUCAGAGACAUAAUUUUGGGAGAAUUUGUCUGACAGGAGUUCAAUUAGGGGCCGAAUUUUGUACAGCCUGUCAAACAAUGGGUCAUUUCUUGGGGGGCACUGUGUGCUAUCAUUGAAGUGGAGGAAACGCAGCAGCUGCUCAUAGCGAUCCCUCUUCAUAACCCCAGGGAAAAGAGGGGUAGCCAGGAUGGGGUGCUUGUACCAGUAGGACCUGAUACUCGGCUUUUUGACAAUGCCCAUAACUAGAGUUAGGGCUCAAAAUUUGCACAUUUCUGCGAGAUCCGUGGGGUGCCACAUAUUCGCAGUCAGAUAUUGGUUGGCUCAACCAAUAACUAAAAUACUUCCUCUAAAAUGAACAAAUCAAAAUAUUUUAGGGGCUCACAAGCAUCCACCAUAACAGUGAUGCCAGGGGUCGCCAUAAAUGGGGGAAUAUCUGGGGCUGUCAGGUUUGGGGGCACCCAGUCUUCAUCUGGCAUUGGGCUUGCUGAGCGUCAGUCAUAGCCUCAAUGUCAGAGGCAGUGAUAGUGUCACUGUCUUGCAGAGUGUCACUAUCACUGCCUGCCAGAAUGGCGUAGGCCUUGUCCGCCGAGUAGCGACAUGCCAUUCUAAGGGGGACUACUCAAAAUUAAUCAAAAAAAAUCUAAGGGAGAAAUUACAAAAUUCCUAUCUGCCUAACACCCUACUACCCACCCUCAAAAACCCACAAAAAAUAAAAUAAAUGUACUGAUCGCAGUUUAGGCUGCUGCGACCAGUACUGAAAGGGUUAAUUUAUUUUUUUUUAUUUAUUUUUUUUAAAUAAAAAUAACCCCCCCAAAAAGUGAGCCUGAUCAGAGAGCCCUCUGAUCACAGUGAUCACUGGUACAAUACUGUACAGUAGCGAUACUGUACAGUACAGUGAUCACGGCAGCGGGGAAAGGGUUAAGGGAGAUUUGGGUUGCUGCGGCUGACAAAGGGUAAAAAAAUUGUUAAAAAUAUUAUAAUAGUACAAAUGUACUAAAAUCCCUAAACAGGCUGAUCACAGUGUUAAAUGCUGUGACCAGCACUGGAAGGGUUAAAAAAUUAUUUUUUUUAACUUUUUCUUUAUUUUUGACAAUUCUUUCUCCUACAGGGCUCUCCAGCAACAAUGUCUCUGCCUCUCUCUCUCAGAUCGAAGUGAGGUGAGGAGAGGGGCAGAGACAAUGUGUCAGCCAGUGAUUUAAAAUCAUUGUAACAGUGAUCGAAGUGACUGGCUGUCACUGCGAUCACAAACUGCAUAUCACUACGGAUUGGCCACAGAGGGCCUGCCUGGGUUGCCAGGCAGGUCCCCCCUCUGUGAUCUGCAGUUUGGGAGGGAUCGGGGAAACGUGGGUGGGCUUAAACACCGCAGCGUACUAUGCCGCCGUAAAGGCGUUUAAGCCCAUUAACGCCGGGACGGCAUAGCACGCCAUAAUGGCGUUAACGGGUUAAAAAAAACUAAAGCCAAAAUAGAGAAGGCAUGUGUGAAUAACUAAGUGCACCCUUACUGCUUCCAUAGGAAUUAAGAGGCUAAGUAGCAGACAGGUGCUGCCAAUCAAAUGCCCUUGAUUAACUGAUCAUCAGCAUGUGUGGUUAUCUCUAUAUACGCCUACGCUUUAGCAGUUUGCUGGUCUGGAGCAUUCAGGUGUGUGUUAACGCAAUUCCAAGGAGGAAAUACAUCAGCAAUGAUAUGCAAUUUUGGCUGCACAUCAAACUUUGAAGGGUUAUAAGACCAUUUCCAGACAUUUUAACAUCCAUCAUUCUACAGUAUGAAAGAUUAUUCAAAAGCGAAAAAAAGAUUCAAGACAGUUGUCAAUCUUAGCAGGAGUGGAUGUUCCAGGAACUUCACCACAAGGUCGGACCAUGGAAUGUUCAUAGAAAUUGCAAAAACCAGAGACUUACAUCUCACAAUCUACAGGCCUAGGUUGGUAUGUUAACGUUUAUGACAGUACAAUUAGAAAAAAGACUGAACAAGUGUUGUUUGGAAGGGUUGCUAGUUUUCUCUAAAAAGAACAUGGCAGCACGGUUUUGGUUUGCAAAGUUGAAUCUGAACAAACCACAAGACAUCUGGAACAAUGUUCUUUGGACAGACAAGACCAAAAUGGAGAUCUUGUUUUACAGGCACAGGACUUGGGAACCUUGCAGUCAUUGAGCUGACCAUGAACUCCUCUAUAUAGCAAAGUAUUCUAAUUUUCAAAUAUGAAAUUAUCGGUCUGACAGCUAAAGCUUGACUGAAAUUGGGUCGUGCAUCAGGACAAGAAUCCCAAGCACACCGGGAAAUCUACAUCAGAAUGGCUGAAAAAGAAAAGAAUUAAGGUGUUGCAAUAGCCCAGUCAAAGCCCAUCCCUCAACCCGAUUGGAAUGCUGUGGCAGGACCUUAAAGGAAGUCUAUAGGCACCCAGACCACUACAGCUCAUUGAAAUGGUCUGGAUGCAGUGCCCCUGUACCCCUUAGUCCUUCAAUGUAAAACAUUGCAGUUUUAGAGAAACUGCAAUGUUUACAUUGCGGCACUAAGACAGCCUCUAGUGGCUGUCUACCAGAAAACCACUAGAGUUGCUUUUGGGAUUUUACCGGACUUUAGGUCGCCUUACUGACACCAGACAUACUCACGCUCUGCAUGAGGACACCCAGUGUCAGUGAAAACCCUGUAGUAAAACAUUGAAUCAAUGCUUUCCUAUGGGGAGGGCCUAAUGCGCUCACCGCACAUGUACUUUAAGCUGAAAGAUCUACCCUGGGGAAUGAUCCUCAUGGCAAAAUUGAGCGACCCCAGCAGGGACUGAAGUUCCCUCCAAUUGCAAGACCCCAGUUGUAAGCAUAAUUCAAUGCUCGAUAUGUUACACUCAAUCUUGUCCCGGGGAAGACUUGCCCGCAUGCGUACUGAAUCUAGUCGAAUCCCCAUAAAAAGAAUAACCGUAUCUGGGCCUUCCUUCUUUUUAGGAAGACCGGAAUUCCUAAGGAUUCAAAGAGAGUCUACACACGUGACAGGCUGAAGGGCGGCAGUGAGUUGUUUUCUAUGGUGAGAAAGUCAUCCAAAUAGUGAAUCACAGUCGGACAUCUGCACACAUUAAGCAGCAACCAACACAAAGGUUCAGCAAAAAAAUCAAAUAUUUUGGGGCUGCUCUUCGAGCCGAAAGUGAGCCAGAAGAAGUAGUAAUACAAACCCAACCACUUGCCAUAGUAAGGGGAGAAUGGCGAGCAAUUUGAACGCGAUGACGAUGUUGGUUUUGCUGAGCCAAGCCCCUGUCCCAGCAGCCAAGAUUGCCCCGAUAGCAUUGUCAGUCAUGGAGUGUUGAAAUGAGAAUUCAUGGGAGGGAAUAAGUGAAUUGAGACUGGGGACCGUGGAGGAAUGAGGUGCCGACAGAUCAAUGAUCAGUCUGUGUUUAAGCAAUGUCUUACCCAUGACAAUCCCAAUGGGGUUGGUCCUCCAUGAAGAAAAAGGGGGGGAACUAAAACGCCAUAACACAAAACCCUGUUCCACUUCACAUUUCACCAAAUCACCCACCAACUCCGGGCAUGCCAUCGUUGUGCACAAAUUUCUGCAUUCCAGGGUACCGACGGGCAAUCUAUGGACAACCCAGUGGUGAGAAAAUCAACCAAAUGUUGUGAGGGUUGAUGACGGAGCAAAUCAGCAAAUAACGGGACAUUGAUGCAAGUGAGGUAUGGUUUGGGAAACAGUUUAUUGGGGCACAUGGUCCUGGCCUGGAAACAGUGAGCACACACGUGCAAAAAAAGCGACAGGAACUAAACCCACAAUUCCCCGCAUUAAAAUGAUUACAAACUUGGGCCUUGCACAAAUACACGAUGUUCCUGCACAGUUUAUCUUUCAAACCCUUGGUAGACCUUGCUGAGCUAGGGACAACAGGGCUAUGCUCAGUGAGUUGGUGGAGUGAGUCGUAGAGGCACAAAUCGCACAAACCAGGGACCUGAGGCCAGCAAAAUGCCUGCAGAAUAGCUCAGUGUCCAACCUUCUCCAGUUUACACUGCAGUUAAACUGAGCCAGAGCUGCAGCCACCUCCACGGAGAAGGAACGUUGGUAGUCAUAGAAGGCUGAACCACCGUACUUGUGCCCCAUGUCCAUGAGCUUGUGCAAGUAGAUAUCCAGCUCCUCACUUUUUCCCGGAUAAACUGAACAGUACAUGUCUCGGUAGAUCCCGAACCCCAGGACAAAUUCGGGUAUGGACAGCUUUUUGUUGAGCCUAGGGUCCCUAGGCCUCAGCACUACCGAUAUAUCCCCAUACGCGUAAGUCCUAUUCUCUAUGACAUCCGGAGCAGACCAGGUUGACACCCCUGCCCUCUAGGGUGUCCUUUUUUAGAGCAGCGGGGACCAAAUGCGAAGGGUUAAUGUUACCAUGGGCCUGAGAAGACAUAAGGUCGUUACCCGGUGAGGCUGAUUGACCCCACAGGCACCCUAGAGGAACAGACCGCUUCCAACUUCUCCAGUUGGUCACUGACAAGUGCAGUAGAAGACAUCAGUGAUGUGAGCAUGGCAUGAACGUCUGGGAACCGCUAGGGCCUUCCCCAGCCUCCGAGUUGUCAGUAUCAGUGUUCAGAAGCCUGAAGAGUUCCACCUUCCUACCCGUAGCCGGAAACAGGAUCCCCCGUCUGUGGAGCUCAGUUGAGAGACGCGGGACACUCCAUGACCUCAGGGAAGCUGGACUAACCGCCUCUGUACCCAGGGCAGGGGCGCCGUACCUAGCAGGGGUUCAGGGAAGGAAUAGUUCUUCCAAAGCGUCAGGAAUCUGAGACAUACUGAAAUACAUAUACAUAAGCAUCACAUGCAGCAAAAACAUAAUCAGGUACUGGCCGGCUGACAAAUGCCAAGCGGCUUGAGAGGCUCUAACUAUCAGUUGGUCUGAGGGGAGUUAGAUGCCACGGAAACGCAAAUGGCAGGGUGAUGGCCUCUCGGUGAAUACUAAAGCAUAAGAUAGAAUGGAAGUGACAGGUGAGGCCCUCCCUAUGAAACAAUGCGAGGCGAAUAAUUAUGCAUUGGGCCAAUGACGUCAUCCACCGAGUAUGAGGGGUACCUCCGAUGGGUGCAGAUUACGUCAGAGAGCCAGAAACAUAACCUAUGUGGCUGUCCUAUGUCCCUUCAGGCCAGUACUAACAACUAAAGGAGAAAAACUAAAGGGGGGGAGGGGAGGGAAAGACAUAGGACCUCCUGAUGUCAUACCUGUGCUGGGUACAAUCCUUAACGGAGCUUCACAGCAGAAUAAAUGCGAAAGGUAGGCGAGGACACGUAUCUCCAACAUACGACGAAACGUGAGACUGUAACUGUGUAUGAGAUAGGUACGUACGUGCAUAUGUGGGCCAGAUUGUGGACCCGAGCACUAGACACCUACCCCACUCCUAGAAGUGAGGGGGGCCACACAGUGGGAUGCAGCCAUGAAUGGGAGACCCCGAUAAACGAGCCUGUCAGGUGGUAUGUACAUCUAUAGAAACAUGAGACGUUAAACGAACAAGCAGGAGAAAAAGGACCAAGCCAGUCGACAGAACCGAAUCACCAACCUAAAACAGACCUAUAUGAAGGAUACGUCAGACACAGGAACGAGCCCCAGACAAUAGGUCAUGAGACACCCCUAUGGGUAGAAUACUAAAUACAUGAGAUGCGGCCCCAAUAACAUGACAGAUUUACCAGUAAGAAACAAAGCAUGCAAACAGACAGGCACCAUUGAAUGAAAACUCCAACCCGGCCAGCAGGGGUCACCGGAUCACACCAACAACAGCCGGCCCGGGUGCAGCGAAUGUACACACAAUCACCCAGACAGGAUAGGCACCACGGGAGGAAUUAGGUAAAAGGCAGCGGGAAGCGAGUGGAUCGUAAUUAACAAGUCACUCGCCAGACCAGCGAUGGUAGAAUGGGAGAGGGUUGGUAGCCCUUAUAUAGGGGACCCAAGCCCCUCCCACAACUACAGGCCCAGCUUUAAAUAAAUAUAUAUAUAUAUAUAUAUAUAUAUAUAUAUAUAUAUAUAUAUAUGUGUGUAUUUAUAACAAUUACCAGAUUCAUCAUCAAAACGUAUUGAGAGGUUUACUAAAAUUACAACCUUUGUUUAUUUAAAAAAAAAAAAACAUAUCGUAAUAGAUUGUAAAGUUUAGUCUAAAGUGCAGAUUUAAAAAAAAUAUUAAAUUCAGCAAAAGUCACAGACUAGAGAUUUUAGCCUAAAUUUUGCAAUAGUGUUAAGUGAAUACAACAUAUUGUGUGCAAGAGGAACCAUGUAUAACCUCCUAAUAGCUGCUAACAGCAUUUUAUUUCAUACUGUUAGUAUUGCAGACUAGUGCAAUAGAAUUAGUUAUGGACUCCAAUACAAUCUGAAAUUUUUAGUGUUAAAAAGAAACAAAGCUGACAUGCUAUCAAUCAAAGGUGUCAGAGCAGAGAAAAUCAUGUUAGCAAGUAGCAGGAACCCUCAUGACUGGUAAAAUAAAAAAUGUAUUUGCUCAAGCAGGCUGCUUCCAUCUGUUUCACAUCCUUAUCUACCCGAGGAGAUUAUGAACUAAACUGUGAAAUAUAGUGAAUUGAAUCCCCCGCUGUCAGCCGUUGGGGGAAACCUAAUGCGUAUGUGCGGCAAUCUCUGCGCUCGCAUUAGCACUUCCCCUAUAGGAAAGCAUUAUACAAUAUACAAUACUUUCCUGUGGGGUUUUGGGUGAAACUGGAUGUCUUCAUGCAUAGCGUGAGGACGUCCAGCGUCAGGCGACCAAAAGGCUCUAGUAGACAGCCACUAGAGGUGGAGUUAACCAUCAAAGUUAAUUAUUGCCAUUUAUUAAAAACUGCAAUAAUUACCUUUGCAGGGUUAAGCGUCAUAGGACACUGCACCCAGACCACUUUAAUGAGCUGCAGUAGUCUGGGUGCCUAUAGUGUCCCUUUAGGUCAAAAUCGCUGAUUGGGAUCUGUGAAAAGUUCCUGCUAAUUCCAUUGAAUUCUAUGGCGGAUAUACUUCCCACUUUUUUACAUAUCUCUCUUAUUUUGUGCAGUCUUAUUAAAUUCUUAUUAAAACAAAUUAUAUGAAUGUUUGUGUUAACAACAAAUUAUGAGUAAGAAAUAUGGUCAAAAUAAAUGUCAGUGCAUUUUUGUUAUCAUGAUGAGCAUUUUCAACAGUGUUAUGUUUUAAAUAAACCUUCUAAACAUGUUCAUUAUGGUUUCUCUAUAGUAUUUAUUUUUAUUUACAUCUCACUGAAGGUUCACUAAAGUCACCCAAGCCACUUCAUCUCAAUUCAAUGAAGUGGCCUGGGUUACAGUGGUCCUGUCAUUUUAACCCUGCAAUAUAAAACAAUGUCAUUUUUAAGAAACUGCUUUUUUUCCAUUUCAUGGUUAAAUUCUUCUCUAAUGGUUGUCAGUAUAUCGCCCACUAGAGGCACUUAUGUGGCACUGGAUGCACCUGUGGCACCCAGCGCUUAUGUGCAUCAGGUCUGCAAUGCUCCUCUAUUAGAAACAUUGGAUUGGACCAACGUGGAGGAGGCCAUGCCAUCACGGGAGGUGAAGUGGUGGCCGGAAAAAGGUAAGCGCAUUUUAAUUUCUCUCUUUUUUUUUUUUUAAUGGGAAACAGGGGUCAGGGACACUAAAGCAUUAUGAAUACAGUUUUGUAUUCCGAAUGCUUUAGUGUUCCUUUAUAAACUGUUGUAACACCUUCGAAUGUUCAUUAAAGUGGGUGAUAUAAUUUACCAAACAUACAGUUGCGAGAAAAAAUAUGUGAACCCUUUGGAAUGAUAUGGAUUUCUGCACAAAUUGAUCAUAAAAUGUGAUGUGAUCAUCAUCUAAGUCACAACAAUAGACAAUCACAAUCUGCUUAAACUAAUAACACACUAAGAAUGAAAUGUUGCCAUGUUUUAAUUGAACACACCAUGUAAACAUUCACAGUGCAGGUGGAAAAAGUAUGUGAACCCCUAGACUAAUGACAUCUCCAAGAGCUAAUUGGAGUGAGAUGUCAGCCAACUGGAGUCCAGUCAAUGAGAUGAGAUUGGAGGUGUUGGUUACAGCUGCCCUGCCCUAUAAAAAACACACACCAGUUCUGGGUUUGCUUUUCACAAGAAGCAUUGCCUGAUGUGAAUGAUGCCUCGCACAAAAGAGCUCUCAGAAGACCUACGAUUAAGAAUUGUUGACUUGCAUAAAGCUGGAAAGGGUUAUAAAAGUAUCUCCAAAAGCCUUGCUGUUCAUCAGUCCACGGUAAGACAAAUUGUCUAUAAAUGGAGAAAGUUCAGCACUGCUGCUACUCUCCCUAGGAGUGGCCGUCCUGUAAAGAUGACUGCAAGAGCACAGCGCAGACUGCUCAAUGAGGUGAAGAAGAAUCCUAGAGUGUCAGCUAAAGACUUACAAAAGUCACUGGCAAAUGCUAACAUCCCUGUUAGCGAAUCUACAAUACGUAAAACACUAAACAAGAAUGGAUUUCAUGGGAAGCCACUGCUGUCCAAACAAAACAUUGCUGCAUGUUUACUGUUUGCACAAGAGCACCUGGAUGUUCCACAGCAGUACUGGCAAAAUAUUCUGUGGACAGAUGAAACCAAAGUUGAGUUGUUUGGAAGAAACACACAACACUAUGUGUGGCGAAAAAAAGGCACAGCACACCAACAUCAAAACCUCAUCCCAACUGUGAAGUAUGGUGGUGGGGGCAUCAUGGUUUGGGGCUGCUUUGCUGCGUCAGGGCCUGGGCGGAUUGCUAUCAUUGAAGGAAAAAUGAAUUCCCUGUGUAUUUACAGGUAAGAAAAUGAAGGAAAGGGACCUCAGUUGAGAAAAGGAUAAUUAGUCAUUUUAUUACAGUGAGUUUGGAGAGAGGUUCUAUUUCAACUGUCAAAGUAAAGACAAAUAAGUCAAUGGGACCUGAUGGAAUACACCCAAAGCUAUUAAAGAGCUUAGUGGUGUACUAGCAAAACCAUUAACAGAUUUAUUUAACCAAUCAUUGUUAACAGGAGUAGUCCCAGAAGAUUGGAAGUUAGCGAAUGUUGUGCCCAUUUACAAGAAAGGUAAUAGGGAGGAGUCGGGCAACUAUAGGCCAGUAAGCCUUACUUCAGUAGUGGGGAAAGUGAUGGAAACCAUGUUAAGGAUAGGAUUGAUGAACAUCUAAAAACACAUGGAUUUCAAGAUCAGAGACAACAUGGGUUUACUUCAGGGAGAUCAUGCCAAACUAAUCUUAUUGAUUUUUUUGAUUGGGUAACUAAAAUUAUAGAUCAAGGUGGUGCAGUAGACAUUGCUUACCUAGAUUUCAGUAAGGCUUUUGACACUGUUGCACAUAGAAGGCUUAUCAAUAAACUGCAAUCUUUAAGUUUGAAUUCCAAUAUUGUUGAAUGGGUAGGCAGUGGCUAGACGAAGAGCCAACAGAGGUUGUAGUUAAUGGAAUAUAUUCAAAGCUUGGACUUGUCACCAAUUGGGGUAUCAGGGAUCUGUGCGGACCCAUUCUCUUUAAUAUUUUUAUUAGUGAUGAUGUGCAGAAGGUCUUGAUGGUAAAAUUAUGUCUUUUUGCUGAUGAUACAAGAUAUGUAACAGGAGAGGAUAAGCCAAAUGACAAAUGAUUUAGGUAAACUAGAAAAAUGGUCAGAAUUGUGGCAACUGACAUUUAAUGUGGAUAAGUGCAAGAUAAUGCAUCUUGGACGUAAAAACCCAAGGGCAGAGUACAGAAUAUUUGAUAAGAGUCCUAACCUCAACAUAUGAGGAAAGGGAUUUAGGGGUGAUUAUUUCUGAUGACUUAAAGGUAGGCAGACAAUGUAAUAGAGCAGCAGGAAAUGCAAGCAGAAUGCUUGGUUGUAUAGGGAGAGUAUUAGCAGUAGAAAGAGGGACGUGCUCAUGCCAUUGUACAGAACACUGGUGAGACCUCACUAGGAGUAUUGUACACAGUACUGGAGACCNNNNNNNNNNNNNNNNNNNNNNNNNNNNNNNNNNNNNNNNNNNNNNNNNNNNNNNNNNNNNNNNNNNNNNNNNNNNNNNNNNNNNNNNNNNNNNNNNNNNGGGGAGAAAGAGGGGGAAUAGAGAGAUAGGACGGGGGAGAAAGAGACAGAGAGGGAAGAAUGAGACACAGGGGGAGAAAGAGACAGAGAGGAAGAGAGAUGUGGGGGAGAGAGAGACUGGGAAAGGGGGGAGAAAAACAGUGGAAGAGAGGGAGAAAGAGGCAGAGGGGUAAGAGAGACUGGGAAGGUGGGGGGAGAAGAAAACAUACAGAGGGACGGGGGGAGACAAAAAGGCACACAGAAGGACUGUAUAUAUCACUGGUGGAUCCAGGGGGGCAACAGGGCAAUUGCCCCCCCUUCCCUGUCCGCAGGCACCGUGCGGGCAGGGGAGGGAGGAAGAGAGGACCCGGGGACCUCACCCUGCAGCUCCUCUGGGUCCUUCUUGCGCAAGCACAGAGCGUUGCCGCAGUUACCAUGGCAACGUUACCGCUCUUGCGAGAGUCAACUCUAGCCCUGGUCACAGUUGUGAGAGUGAACUCUAGCCCCAUAAACACACUGCCCCCCCACAUACAACAUACACAUUUACAUACAUUGCCUCACACACACACAUACACUGCCCACCCAUAUACACACAGACCCCCAUACACAGCCCCCCAUACUAACAUUGCCACACACAUACACUGCCCACACACCCUACACAUUCACACACUACACCCCCACACACACACUGAACCUUUCACACACAUUGCACCACUGUUCCUAUUCCCUACUACAGCCCCAUAUCCCAGCAGACCCCAGGUAAGUUGUCAAACUGUUCUUAAACGGUUUGACUACUUACUCUGGAGCAGUAGUGGUUAUAGUGGUUAUUUCUUUAAAUAAUCUACAAGUGCCCCAGUAGCCAGCCAGCCAGCCCACCCACAGGCUGGCCAGUAGCCAGCCAGUUUGCCAGCCGCAGUCAGCAAGCCCGCAGCCAGCAAGCCCACAGACUGCCAGCCAGCAACAGUAAUUAAGGUAAGAGGAGCCAACUUGGCCUAGGUAUCAGUGAGCUAUGUUGUGUUGCUAUAUUGUGAAUAGGAACCAGAGUGUUGGAGAGACCACUCUUCAGGCCCCAUUAGACUCCAUUGUAGUCUCUAAUGGGGCCUGGAGGAGAUUCUUUCUAACACACUCUCUAAAGGAAACUGAGAUAGCAUCUCUUAGAAAUCCCCUCCAUGGCCCAUUAGCCCUCAAUUGUAGUCUCUACUGGGGCCUGGAGGCGACUGUUUCCAGCAGGGGCUAUAUAAUGGACGCUGAGAUGGCCUCUGUUAGAAAGACCCCCUUUCAAGCCUAUUAGAAUCCAUUGUAGUCUCUAAUGGGGCUUGGAGGAGAUUCUUUCUAACACACUCUCUAAAGGACACUGAGAUAGCCUCUGCUAGAAAGACCCCCCUCCAUGGCUCAUUAGCCCUUAAUUGAAGUCUCUACUGUGGCCUCGAAGGGAUUAUUGCACUUUUGUUCCUUGUGUCUAAAGAUUGUGUAGGGUGUGGCUGGAGGCGGUGCAUGGAGGCGGGACAAGGGUGGCGCUUGCUGCGGAGUAUGGGUGGGGCCUGUAAGGGGGCCCUUGAUUUAUUUUGCCCAGGGGCCCUGAGGGUUCUCAGUCCGCCCCUGUGCACGUCUAAACUGCAACUACGGGAAACGUUUGGUUGAAGUUAUUGCUGCCAAAGGAGGUUCAACCAGUUAUUAAAUCCAAGGGUUCACAUACUUUUUCCACCUGCACUGUGAAUGUUCACAUGGUGUGUUCAAUUAAAACAUGGCAACAUUUCAUUCUGUGUGUGUUAUUAGUUUAAGCAGACUGUGAUUGUCUAUUGUUGUGACUUAGAUGAUGAUCAGAUCACAUUUUAUGACCAAUUUGUGCAGAAAUCCAUAUCAUUCCAAAGGGUUCACAUACUUUUUCUUGCAACUGUACCUGUAAAUGUUAAAUGUUUGUACUGUAAUCUAGAGAGUAUGGCCACAUUUUUCCAUGUAUGCUUAGUACUUAUUGUAUAAUUGCUGUGUCUUAUGAUUAAUGUUUUUCAUACAAUUUGUGCUUUAUUAAAAACAAAAUAAAAUACUUCUUUCAGCUUAUCAAAGUGCAGUUUCCAAAGGUACAAGUUUGAAAUUAAGUUAAUCAUUCAAAUUAAGUAUCAUUACAGAGAUAAUAUUUCAUAGGCUAAUUAAGUGGUUCAGUGCCUAUUUAACCCAUUUAGUAUAAAAAAAAAAAAUUAAAAAAAAAACAGAAUAAAAAAAACAAGUACAGCUAAAGAAAUGUACUUCAAAAUAUUUUUUUUUUGUCCUGAUUUAUAGAGUACAUUGUAUUUUAUUCAGUUUGGAUGUUACAGGUUACAAAUUACAAGAAGCACGAGUUUCAAAGAUUACAUUUUUCUAAAUUAUUUUUUUUACCCAUAGGUUAUCAGCAGCCAUAGAAACCAAAUAGCCGCACACACGUAAUAUUAUUUUUAUGUAGGAGUAAUUAUCUAGGAGUAAUUUGAUAUGUUACAUUUGACUUUUGCUGUAGCAACAAUCUAUGCCAAUAUUUGUCGUAAUAUUAUGUAUAUUGUAUUUUCUCACAUGUGACCACACAUAGAAUUACAUUAACCUUUUUAACUACAAAAUGAUAUGAUUUGAUUCUUUUCCACACAUAUUAACUAUUGUUUCCAUGAAUAAUCUGUUUGUACAAUAAAGCAAGUAUAACAUAUAUAUAAAAAUAAUAUCUAAUUAAAUCUGAUAGAUUAUUCUUACUAUAAAUCUUUUUUUAUUGUAUAGUUUUUUCUUUGUAUAGUCUUGUUACUUAACAGAUUACCACCAACCUGAUUGUACUGAGCCUGUAUACAUUUGUUUACUGUAGCUGUGUUAAAAAUUUAUUUUAUACUUGGGUACAUCUAUUAAGUACAGCAAUAAAUUGUAGAUAUGCCUAAUUAAGUUUUCAAACUCCUAAAUUUGAUGUUGGAUUGCAGGAUCUGUCUCAUUUUGGCAGCUCACAAAUUAAUAUUAUUCUAUAAAUCCAUACAAUUUGCAAAAGUAGAUAUCUUGGGAUAUCUAGAGCCUUAUGAUGGGGUAUUUGUCACCAAUUUCUUUUUUUUAAAAAUAAAUUCUUUAUUUAUAGUUUUUAAAAUUUUGUUGUGUCGGAAUUAAGGGUUACAGAAUAAAAAAUGGAAGUGGGUAUAAGACAUGAAAAGUACAGUCUUUUUGACAUUAAAAAGGAAGAGUAUAUCACUUGAAUGUACAACAUACAACAUAAGGGCAAGUAGUAUAAACCCCAGGAUCUGCCGAUGUUACCUGUGGAAUCUGGUACAAGUUUGUCAACAUGAAAAAAAAAAAAAGAAGGAAAAAACAGAGGUUUUAGGUAAAAUAGGGUACAUUGCAAUGCAAGACAAUAUCACUAUGCAACCUCAUAUUGUAUUAAGCCUUGCUUUUUUUUUAACAUUAUAUUGGUCGGUGGCAGGGCUUAGGCGCCCAAGAACCAAUCUGGUGUGUGAUAAUGGUCGUGGUUUGGCACGCUUAUGAUAGUGCUAUGUGGUCAGGGGUCUGGUGGGGGUUACUUUGCUAAGAGUGGGAACAUAGGUUUAAGCCACUGUUUAACAUGAUCGCAGGCUGCGGGGGUGCUUGAGUGUAGUGUUAGCUUAAGGGGUUUGAGUGGUUCACUCACUGGAGCUGAUCAAUUUAAUGAGCCAGGGUUUGGGACUACAGAGCCCUUGGAGCCCGGAGCGGGUGAUGGGUGGGUUAGUUAGUGUUGUCACUGGAGGGUGGUUGUCGCUUCCAGCGAAGCUUGUGGAGAUGUGGGUGGUUGUAGUUUGGUGGUUGUGUAGGUGGCCAACAGUCUGAGUAGGGGGAGUUGCUGGAUGGGGGUCUAGAUGGGAAGUGUGGGGAAGGGUAGAGAGGUAGGUGGAGAGGAGGGGGCUGGGGAACUGAGAGAAAAAAAAAUAUAAGAGGAGAAAGGGUUUGGGUGCGGAUCAGGGUGGGGGUUUCCCCCCCACCUAGUCCCUUCCAUGGAGGAGGUGUUAGGUGGGGAUUGGGAAUUAGAAUAUCCAGGGUUCCCAUAUUUUUUCAAAAUGUUUAGUGGUGUCAUGUACAAGAACUGAGAGUUUAUCCAUUUUCAUGGCGUCAUUUAUUUUGUAAAGCGGGGAACUGUCCUGUGUAUUCUGAGUGGGAGAGUAUAUCGUAGAGAUUUGUCCCUUUUGGACAGUAUAUUUGCCGCAAGCUUUUUCAAGAGGUGUUAGGGGGGUGGUGCUCGCUCGUUUAUAGUUGGGUUCGCUUAGGAAUCUGAAUGUAUUGAAAGAAGUCGUGGGUUGUAAAUGGGGUUUGCUGUGGGAGGUCAGCAAAUGGUAUAUGCUGUUGGUUCAUGUAGAAUUGGUGGAUUCGGGACAAGUCGUUAUCAUCGAAAUGUAUGAAGUCUCUAGGGUCCAUGCCGGGAGUAAACUGCGUGUUUCUGAGGAUAGGCAUAAGUAGGGAGAGGUUUCAUACGAGGUUGAAUUUUGCCGUUGCCUUGUCCCAUAUCUUGAUUGAUGUGAGUAUUGCCGGGGAGGAGGAAGGAGUAGGAGGUUUAGCUUGUUUUGGGAGCCAAAUAUAUAAUGCGUCCCUCCCGAAGUUGUGUUCUAAGUCUACCUAACGUUUAAGGCCAAAUGUGGCAAAGUUAUUGUGAAGUUAGGUACUCCUAACCCGCCGACUUUAUUCGGGACAUAAAGUGUGAGGCAUGUAAUCCUGGUCCUUUUGUUGGCCCAAAUGAUUCGGUCUAUGUCAGUUUGUAGCUUUUUGAAGUCGGAUGUUGAGAUGAAUAUCAGGAGGGCCUGGAAGAGGUAUAAGAACCUCGGUAAGAGAUUCAUUUUUAUAGAGGCCACACGGCUUAGUCAUGAGAUUGACAUGUCCUUCCAUUUCUCUAGGUCCUGUGUGGCUUUGUCAAGCAGGGGUGUAUAGUUGUGAUUGUAGGUUUGUGUGAGGUCGGCGGGAAGUAUCGUGCCUAAGUAUUUAAUGGUGGAAGUCUGAAAUGGGUAUUGCGAUUGUAGGGCGUUAAGUGUUAGGUGUUCUAUGUGUAUUGAUAGGGCUUUGGUUUUGUCCAUAUUUAGUUUGUAGUCAGAAACUGCAGCGUAGUUGUCUAGUGCGGUUAUGAGAGGUGGGAGAGAGCGUAGCGGGUAAGUUACCAUUAGGAGCAAGUCAUCUGCAUACGCAGCUAUUUUGUACUCUUCGCCGCGAAAAGUCAGGCCGUGGAUGUCAUCGUGUUCCCUAAGUAGUUGGAGGAGAGGUUCGAGGCAUAAGGCAAACAGGAUCGGGGAGAGGGAGCAGCCUUGGAUUGUUCUAUUCAGUAUUUGGAAGGAUGGUGGUUUUGAGGAGUGGAGAAAUAGAUUAGCUGUGGGGGAGGAGUAUAGCAUGCGCAGGGCUUCAAUAAAGGAUUGUGGGAAGCUGAAUUUUCUGGAGCGCCGCAAAGCGGAAGGGCCAUAGCAGUCUAUCAAAGGUCUUUUCUGCGUCAAGGGAUAGGACCAGGGUGAAGAUCUUUCGGUGGUUAGCAUACCAAAUUAGAUCAAACGUGCGUCUGGUGUUGUCGCUAGCUUGUCUGUUUGGGAUGAACCCCACUUGGUCCGGGUGGAUACGUUUUGGUAGGUUAAGUCUCUCUGCCAUUAGUUUUGUGAAUAACUUGAUGUCCACGUUGAGUAGUGAAAUUAGCCUAAAAUGACUAGGUUCUAGGUGAGAUUUGUCAGGUUUGCGGAGGAGGCAGAUGUUUGCCUGGAGCAUGUCUGGGGGUAGUUGGUCGCCGGUCAGUAUUGGGUUGAAAAGGUUAUUUAAAUGUGGGAGUAGUGAGGGAGCAAAGUUUUUGUAAUACAGGCCUGAGAAGCCGUCCGGGCCGGGGCAUUUAUUUGGUUUCAGUGUUUUGAGAGUGUUGGCUAGUUCUUGGGUGAUUGUUGCAGUUAAUCUCCCUGCCCCUUCGGGAGUAACUGAUGGUAAUUUAACAGAAUUUAGGUAUUUAUCGAUCUUGGCAGUGAUCAGGUUAGGGUCACGUCAGUUCUGGGGGCUGUGGUCAUAGAGUGCAGAGAAGUACUCUUGAAAUACCGCUGCUAUUUGUGCCGGUGUUUCAUGUGUGCGUCUGUCUGGGGAGUGAAUCUUAGCGAUGUGUUUAUGGGUUGCCCUGCUGUUAAGUUUGCGGGCGAGUAGGGUGUGUGCUUUGUUGGACUUAUGGUAAUACACCCUGUUCCAAAUUAUUAUGCAAAUUAUAUUUUUCUCAUUUACCUAAAUAAUUGAUGUAAAUAACAUUCAGCAUAAUUCUCAUGUUAUCAACUAUUAAGAGUACAAUUCAAAUUUUAUUGAACAAACCUCCUAAUGAUAAAAAAAAAAAUACUGUUACCCUAAAAAAAAACAAAAAAAAAACUUACAAUGCACUGUUCCAAAUUAUUACGCUCAGUAAGUUUCAAAACACUUUAUAGGUUGUAAAGAACUGAAAAUUGUCAUUUGUUGUGUUUGCAGCAUAUUUACUGAAAUCAAAAGCUAUUUCAAUCAAACUUAUAACAACAUUUUAACUUUUUAAACAUUUUAACAGGUCACGUUACAUUUUAACAUAGGACCCCUUGUUUGAAAGCAGCUUCACCAGUCUUGCAUCCAUUGAACUUGUGAGUUUUUGGACAGUUUCUGCUUGAAUUUUUUUGCAAGAUGUCAGAAUAGCCUCCCAGAGCUGCUGUUUGGAUGUAAACUGCUUCCAACCCUCAUAGAUCUUUUGCUUGAGGAUGCUCCAAAUGUUCUCAAUAGGAUUGAGGUCAGGGGAGGAUGGAGGCCACACCAUGACUUUCUCUCCUUUUAUCACCAUAGCAGCCAUUGAUGCAGAGGUAUUCUUUGCAGCAUGAGAUGGUGCAUUGUCAUGCAUGAAGAUGAUUUUAUUACGGAAAGUGUAGUUCUUCCUUCUGUACCAGGGAAAAAAGUGGUCAGUCAGAAACUUCACAUACUUUGCAGAGGUCAUCUUUACACCUUCGGGGACCCUGAAGGGGCCGACCAGCUCUCUUCCCAUGAUUCUGGCCCAAAACAUGACUCCACCACCGCCUUGCUGACAUCGCAGCUGUCCACCAUCCACUACUCCAUCCAUCUGGACAAUCCAGGGUUGCACGGCACUCAUCAGUGAACAGGACGGUUUGAAAAUUAGUGUUCAUGUAUUUUUCUGCCCAAUGCAGACGUUUCUGCUUGUGAGCCAAUAGAAGGUUUAUGCACAGUUGCAAGACUCUGGAGGACUCUACACCUUGAUGUCCGUGGGACUCCAGAGGCACCAGCAGCUUCAAAUAUCUGUUUGCUGCUAUGUAAUGGUAUUUUAGCAGCUGCUCUCUUGAUCCGAUGCAUGGAUCUGGCAGAAAUCUUGCUCAAUGUGCCUUUAUCUGCAUGGACCCGUCUGUGCUCUGAAUCAGCCACAAAUCUUUUAAUAGUGCCAUGAUCACGCUUAAGUUUUCGUAAAAUAUCUAAUGUUUUCAUACAUCGUCCAAGGUAUUGAACUAUUUCACUCUUUUCGGCAUCAGAGAGAUCCUUUUUCUUCCCCAUAUUGCAUGAAAAUGGUGCUCUGCUUAAUGUGGAACACCCUCUUUUAGUAGUUUUUCCUUAAAUUGGGCUCAUCUGGCAAUCUAAUUAUCACAGGUGUCCGAGAUUGUUUUCAGUGAUCAAAAGAGCCCUGAGACACAAUGCCAUCCAUGCGUUAAACCAUGGGUCGUCAUCCAGAGAGAUGAAUGCUCUGUUCAUCUCUCACGCACUAAGUGUUAAGCAGUAAGUGCGAGGUUGCAGAACGCUCGCGCAGGGGAAGCACGAAUGCGUGCGCUCGUGAACAAGUGUAACACGCAGGUAGAAGAAGGGGAGGAGUUGGAUUAGGUAGGAGAAAGGAGAAAGAAGGAAGAAGGAAAAUAAAAAAAUAUAAAAACGAAAAGGAGAGAAUUGUUGUUGGAUAAUAAUAAUAAUAAUAAUAAUAAUAAGUGGGCUACCUAGUAGCUCAGCCUUCCUGCUGGGCAUUGCUAUAAGGAAGGUAAAGACAUAGAAGAAAGGAAAAGGGGGAAAUUGAGGAGGGAGAGGAGGGGAGCUGAUGCAAGGAAGAGAAAUCAUAUUAAGAGCAAACAGAGAAAUCAUCUGAAUAUCACAGAAAGAGGAGACCUUUGUUUGUUCGUUACGAAAAUCGAACCGGAUAUAAAAAUAAAAAAAUGUAGUCUCGCAGCAUCAGCCUCAAGGAUCUCAUUAAUCACCAGUAAAGGUAAUUUCAAUUUACUUUGUUUUUUCAUUAAACUUUAUAAAGUUAACAUUACAAACAUGCAUAAAGUAGAAAUAAAAAGAUAAAUGUACGUACUUUUUUUUUUUUUUGAAAACACCCUCCUUUCUACAAAAUAUUCCGCACUUGCGCAAAAACUGGUGGUCGGUAAGGACAUUUUUCCCUCAAGAAAGAUGCAUUAGUGGGCGGUAGGUAGAAAAAGGUUGACUACCCCUGCGUUAAACUGAAAAACAAAAUAUUUAAUCUUUGUGACACUUACAUAGAAUUUGCAUAAUAAUUUGGAACAGGGUGUAGAGCUGUCGGGUCCAUUGGAUGACUUUUGCGGAGUCUGCUCAUAUGAAGUCCUUUAUGGUGUUUUGAUAGUGUGAUAUUUUGGAAUUUAAGAUUUUAAGAUCAGACACCACAGUAAGAUAUGCAACAUGAUGCAAAUAUGAACAAUAUCACAGUCAAAAGUCAUUAAUUAAGAGCGAUUAUUUUUACAUGUCCUUACAACCAACCAAAAACAUCGUUGACUAUGAGAGACUGGUUACUGCGGCAUCCCACCCAUUUUGAAAUAAGUAAUACAAAGACUCCUGACUGACUAUAAAACACAUGGUAGUAUUUCUCGUUCGUUCCAAGUUCAUUAAACAUUGCUUUUUAUGAUAUGAGGCUUGGCCGAUUAAGGUGCUCCUGAUAACAGUUUUGUAACCAUAAGAUACUAGUCGAGGUCACCGAUUCUUUAUUUAGGGUGAAGUAGUCGGCGAUGGCCUGCGACAUUGACUCUCGAAUAAGAGGGUUGUGCAGUAACGUGGAGUUCAAUCACCAUUGUCUGGUUGUGUCUGGUAAAUUAAGGGCAAGCGUGAUAUCAGCAUGGUCCGACCAUGUAAUGGAGCCGAAAUACAUAGAUUUAACGAACGGUAUUAAGGAGGGAGAGAUCAAAAACAUAUCAAUGCGCGAGUGGGACUGGUGCAGAUGGGAGAAAAGUCAUGUUUGUGAGAGAAAAGUUUGAAAGAGUUUGUCAGAUUUGGCGGUGAGGGGCUGGAGAGUCGCACGGGUCCCCGUACGUCGUCUGUCUAGCGAAGGGGAUGAGGUUGCAUUAUAGUCCCCUCCUGCUACCAGGUGAUAUGAGGAGAAUAGUAGGAAGUGGGCCUGUAAAACAUGCCAGAAGGAGUUACAUGGGACAUUGGGCGCGUAAAUCGAGGCGAAGGCAUAUUUUUGGGAGCCUAUUUUGCCGGCAACCGUGAUGUAGCGUCCUUGGUGGUCAGUGCUAGUUUUCUCAAUGGUUAAGGGCACGAUUUAUGAAGCAUAAUUGCUACCCCAUUUUGUUUGCCUGUUGGGGAGUUAGCUAAGAAAUAUCUGUUGAAAUGUCGGUUCUGGAGGGGAAAUGCCCAAUUUUGGUGGAAAGGCGCCUUCUGUAGGAGAACGAUUUGUGCUUGGGUUCUGGUUGCCCAGCGCAUGGUUUGGUGGCGUUUGGAGGGGUUAUUAAGGCCUUUGCAAUUAAUGGAUAUGCAAGUGAAAAGAGGUUGCAUCAUGGGGGUUUCAUACCACUAAGUUGCUAAUGCUGUUCUGUGAGGUGAGUGUGCCCCUAUUGAGGCAUAAGGGAAGACGAGGCGGAUGGGGGGAGAGGGAGAUAAAAAAAAAAGGGGAGGGGUUUAACCAGGAAAGACAGGGUAGGACAGGGGUGGGGAAUCUGGUAGGGAGGUAGGGGGUGAAAGGUAGUCGAAGAAGUAGUCUUACUUGUAGGCAGCCAGGCCCAGGGAGGACUGAGUUUGUCUGGUGUAACAGUGGUGGUGGGAGACCGGGAAUUGAGUGAGGGGAGUUGCUCCCUGCGUGUGGGGAGAGAUACUCGGUGUACAAGAGUCAAUGGAACACCUUUGUCUGAAUCCACCCCCUGAGCAUGCGUGCCCGUGAAAACUGUUCAUAAUAGGCAAAUGAUAACAAUACACUUAACAGAUUACAGUAUAUUAUAAAAUCUAAAGCAUAACCAUAAAACCAAUGAAUGCCAUGGGAGUCCAUGGUGGAGAGACUGGGAAUGGACAGGUCCACAAAGAGUGCAGCAACCUCACCCCAACAAGAUGGUUGUCUCUGUGGGGCCUGCUGGUGCCGUAUAAUGCGGGUAAUUGGGCAGAGGUUUUGGUAUUGGGUAAUCGGAAUGAGGGGGUUAUGGUAUGGAUCGCACCCUCGGAGUAGCCGCUCUAUGGGAUAUGGCUCAUGGUGCGGGAGCGUGGGGAGGGUCAAACCAGAGGGGUCCCUGUACUGGGCGAAGAUUAAAUGUGGGUCCCUUCCUAAGCCAUAGGAAGCUCAGCAGAGGGUUGGUUGCCCUGGAAGGUGGCCGACGGUGAACAUGGGGGUCCCAGUUGGGUUAGCCCGGUGGGCGCGGCUGCUUUGCUGCGUGGGCGUGGUGUGAGCCAGGGGACGCCCCCAGAGGGCCCCCUGUGCGAGUGUUUAGUGGACGGGACUACCCCCUAUAUGGGAACAUGAUGAAUAAGGGGGUUGUCUCUAAAGCAAGGGAGGUCCCCCCGGGCAGAGCCCCUAGGCACCGGCCACGGCACUGUUCGAGUAGUGUUGUUUCUAGCCUGUCUGAGUAUUACAAGUAUACAUUGAUGUCAUGUGAAUGGCAAAAACAUAGUUUUGCUAAGGAACAGUCUAGUGAGAAACCUCCAUGCCCUACUGUGAAAAUACAGUGGGGACCCUUCAAACUUGCAGUACAUGAUGUUUCCUGACAUGAGGAACAGUGGGAUGUACCGGUCUAUUUGCGCACAUUCAAGUGUUGCUUUGGCCAGGUGGGGGCCUUUCGGGAGCAGUAUCUAGUCGGGGGGAUGGUGUUGAAGGGGUACAAGUUGUUCUGCCCCGUGCUGGGGAUUAUUAUAGGGCGAGGUAUGCCCCCGUACAGGAGCGUGAAGAGCUAGGAGGAGGUCCCCACUAAGAGGAAAGUCCCGAGGCCUUGUGCCGUACCCGCCAGAAUGGAUCAUAUAUACAGUGUUAGCACAUAAACAAUAGAAACAUAACAGUACAUUACAUGGAUUAAUGAAAGACCCACGAGGUCAACAGAAACAACUCGAUAGCUAUUGUAAAAGCCGGGUAGGGGCUGUGGACACCUGCAGGACUAUAUUGCCUGUCAUUAAGGUAUCUAGGCCCAAUUGGAUACCGUAGUAUGGUGUAUGGGCUUGUGUUGGUAAAGUAGGGUUACCCUUCGGGACUGUCUUUGCAUGUCCAGGGCGGGACUGUGUGGGUAUGGAGGCCAGGACUUUUGGUAGGAGUAGUGAACUCUCUGACGGGGUUCAGAUAUAGGGACUCGAACGUGGGGGCAUAGGGGCUAGAAGGCUUCAACUAGCGUGGCAUCAGAGUGCAAGCGUAGGGCAUCUGGGUGCUGGAGCCCCCCCAGGGGGAGAUAUUUAGGGAGAGAGUACGACCCAUAACCACAAAAAGGGGGGGCCUAAUACAGUUACAGGCAACAGUGGGGGUAUAACCUGGUCCGCAAUCCAAGCGGGAAAGGCCGUCCGUAUAAGGUGUGGCAAUAGUUCCAGGGACCGCUUUCAAGUGUUCCCAUGAGAGGUACUCUUCGGGGUCGGUGGGGGUCUCUUUCGUUGCGUCAUACAAGGUGGAAGCUGCUCUGCCCUAUGCUGGUUCCGGGUAGGUCCCUGUGAACCGCCAGCGGUGGGUGCAGGUGGGUAGAGUAAUGGGUUUCCCAGUUGGUUGGCAAAGUCCAGCAUCUCAGCGGGUUGAUUAAGCGUAUGUGUCUGGUCUUCUUUCCGUACCAUGAGUUUAAAUGGAUGGCCCCACAUGUAUUUCCAUCCCAGUUGGGCUAGGGUGGUGGUGAGGGGGUUUGAGCUCCCUGCGUUUCCGUAGGGUAGAUGGUGCCAAGUCCUGGAAGAAAUGCAGUUGCUUGUCUUGGUGGACUGGUGGUUUGUCGCGGGCUGCAGCCAUGAACCGUUUUGUUGUGAAGUGCAGCAGUUUCACGAUGAAGUCCCUCAGCAUGGCAGAGUUAGGCGUAGGGGGCGCAGCGCCCGAUGGGCUCUUUCAAUGGGUGUCCUGUUCAGAGUUGUGGAACAUCGUGGCCACCGAUGGCGGGAUUUUUUUCCUUUUUUUGUUGUCUCCCAUGGUGGUAAUAUGAAGAAUGCCUGUGUGUCUGUAUGUGGUGGUAUCAGUAUCCGUUGGAUGUGCAGGGAUUUUCACUGAUGGAAGCAGAUUGUAUGCUCAGGGGAGCUCAGGACUCAUGCGUCCAUCUUCAUCGGUGGUCAGGCUCUGCCCACCCCGUCACUAAUUUCUCUUAAUUUCUGUUGUAUGCAGUUUUUUCUCAUGCACAUUGUAGUGUGUUUUGUAAACCAGCUACAUUUCCUGAAUACUAAAUUCCCCCAUGUAUACCAAGUUUUUGUGACGUUACAGGGCCCUUUUAGAGAAUUGCACAUUUCAUUCUUUUGAAAUCUACAAUUUUGGUUCUAUGUCCAUGUCUGUUGUGUUGACAGCAGGUAUUGACAGCAGGUAUUGACAGCAGGUGCUUUAGAGAUGUAGAGAUUAGGGGGUUUGAGUAUGCUUAUGCUACUGGGAUUAAGGAUUAAGACUGGAGGUAGGUUUAUCAUUUGUGAGUGUUUAAAGAUAGGGAGUUUAAGAUUAGGAUUAAAAUUAAGUAGACUAUGUGGAUCCUUAGCGUAGAAGGAUUUAGAUUAGAUUGAUAAAGUUAUUGGGUGCAUUGUGUUGGGGGUUAGGGAUAAAAUUAGGGAAUAUAGUUCUUUAGAAUUAAGAAUAGGGGGUGUAACGGAUCACCUGGCACCCCGACUGGGUACCUCCAUUGAAGGAUGCUCCUAGCGCUUCCUGAGGACUCCAAGCACUGCAGCACACAACACAACCACCGCAGACUCCGCAACCACCGUAGCUUGACCGGAGUCUUGCCAUCUUCCUUCCACCGUGGAUCAGCUUCUGUCCUCCAGGACCGUGUGGAAAAGACCUCUUCCUUCCACCCUGUAUGAACCUCCAGCAUCCAGGACUGUGCGAGGAAGACCCCUCCUCCAAGGAGAGAGUGUCAGGAACAAGCUCUUAAAAGAGCUAAGUGAUUCAAGCUCAGGGGACUAUGCAGAGCAUAGCAAUCCCCAGUGUGAUAAUCACAGCUCCCUCCAAUAACGAGACAAGGCUACGUUUAGAGGAAUCAAGAAGAACUGUCUAAACCUUUAUUUUACUUGGGACUAGCCCAUCUGGUCAUCACAUUAACAUUGCUGUGAAAACUCAAUAAAAUCACUGUGACGGACCGCUGGCACUCCGACUGAGUACCUCCGCCAAUCGAUGCUCCUAGUGCUCGCUGAGGACUCCAAGCACUCCAACCGACACCAUCAGCACUGAAGACCCCACUUCCAGCGAUGCAACUGCGCCAGGGUCUCUGUUGUCUCCACUCACCCUGGACCCAAGGCCAGGAUCCAGCUUCCAGUGGGUGAACCUCUCUUUCUCCAGAGAGCAGGAACUUAGUGAUCAUACCCUGGGGAGUAUAGUGAUUAUAGCAAUCCCCAGAGUGUAUUUCUCCAAUCCCCCAAACAUGAGCCAAGGCUUAAUGCUGGAACAAGACUGAUUUACUGGCACACAGAACUCACAAUUUAUGCAACACAAAACUCCUCCUCUGGGCCAGGCUAGAUAAUUGAGCUUCUACAAUACACAAAGCUCAAUUAUCUGCUGGCCAGAAAUAAUACAGUUUUUACAGCAUUCAUAACUUCUAAAAUAUACAUCACAUUCACAUAUUUAUAUGUUCCAAUCAAUCCAUUCAGGGAAACAACAUAUCAAAAAAUGGCAUGAAUCAGACCAGGGGUUCAGAAGUUAGUAAAGUAUCUUUUGGGGCCUGGCUGGCUAUCUGGCCCAAACUGGUUUUACAGAGUCCUCUAGCCUGGAGACAAUGGGGAAAGUAAUCCAAUUAUCCAGGGAUAGAAGCAGACUCCAUUGAGCACAUGUUCCAGGUAAAACACAAAAGGAUACAAAAAUACAUAACUCCUAUCAUACUGAAUUGAACGGGCCAAAUCUCCCAGGGUCUAUAGUCACAGGGCAAGAGGCGAGCAAGCAGUCCUCUCCAGGCACAAGUGGCUAAGGGCACUUUGUCACAAUCACAAACAGUCAAACCAUAUCAGGCAACAUACAGUGACUUAUCACAACACAAUGGCACAUUUCCAAAUAGGUGGGGGAGACAAUAACCAACAGAAAAUAUCUCACAUGUCUGCAGAAUUAGCAAUAUGCAAAUCUACCCGAAUAUGCAAAUGAACCAGUCUUGUUAUUCAGGUAGUGCAUAUUGCUGUUGCUACCAACAGAGGGCACUAUACAAGCUCCAUAGCCAAAUCCACCUAGUUGGUAGCAAACCUCAGCAGUACAGGAGAGCAGGCAAUACAUUACACAGUACACACACACACACGCACACACACACUAUAAACAAUUACAUUACACACACCCUGCACCUAUAAUGGGUACAGGGUGACUAAAACAUAAGAGAAAUAAAGCAACCUACAUAAAUAGUCUGUCUGAAGGUAGAAUACAUCAAAGUGUCAUAGUUACAGGGGAGGAGGCUGGCAAGCAGGCCUCUCCAGGACCAAGUGGCGAAUUGUCACAUGGGGUGUUUUGAAAAAAAUCAUUGAGUGUAUGGAAGGCAUAACUAUUAACUUUAUUACAAGCCUACAAGUAUUCCUCGUCUUCCUCCAGUGAUAUAGUCUUUAAAGUGAACCCAAUAAUUUUGCCAAAAGGUGACCCUCCAUAAGCCAAUCCCCAUUCAUAAAGUUUGUAGACAUCCUAUUUUUGAUGACAAGAGUCAUGCUACAGUGUGCCAUAGGUGCAGUUUAGGGUUAGGUUAGGCAGAUUAGCUCUAUAUCUAGGCAGAUUAGGUAACAAGUGCAGGUGAAAGUCUAUGGGUCAUCCGCAGAGGUCAAAGUAAUUAAGGUCAUCCACUUUCGGGCCUUCCAUUCCCCAUCUAUACUUGACAGAGUUGUCCCUCACUCGUCUGGCAAUUGGAGCCAACUGCCUUUUCUCCAUUAAUACUGUGAACGGGAAAUCCCUGUAGAAAGCUAUCGCACAGCGUUCAAAUUGUACUGUUCCUAAGGCUCUAGAGUGGGCCAUAAUAACAGAUUGUGCCGUGACAUCUCUGGUUACCAUGAUGACGUCCCUGGAGGCCCCUGACGAGGCUGCAGCCGCUUUCUUACUCUGAAUACUGACAUAACCAGUGAGGUGUCUCUCACCCCCUUAAGGCCCAGUGAGGCAAUCCGUCUCCUGUUGAAGGGCAGUAGCUCCUCGCUUCCCACUCUUCCGGGGAUACCUCUUAGAUGGAUGUUGCGCCUUCUGUGUCUGGACUCCAGUACAGCUACUGCUUUUAAACCUGGUGGCUAAACUCUUCCACCUGACACUUAGUCUCCUGCAUCUGGUUGUCUCUGUUUUUUUCCCCUUGUUUAAACUGCAUUGAACUUUGCAUUCAUUGCUCCUAUGUCAGCCUGUGUCUCCUGCAGAUCUGUUUUCCAUGCCUGCCUCAGCUCCAGCAGCAGCUUCUUAAUGUCCCCUUUUGUAGAAGGGAAAAAGUCAUCAUCUGACUCUCAGUCUCUCUGUAUAUCCCCCCGUGCCACUCGAGACCAUGGAAUCUGUGUCUUCCUGAGAUUCUUCAGAGGCCUCAGCCAUGAUUUGUGCCUUGGGUGGUAGUCGCUCCACAGGCUUCUCGAAGGAGAGCCUGAUAUCUGGCAUACCAGAGCCAUCUAGGAAAUGGGAUUUUUUGUACUUACGUCCCAUCUUGUCAUCUGUGGGGUAGUGGUAAAAGGUAAGUGAAUAACUGCCAGCAAUUUAAUAAAUUCGGAUUUAUCUCAUGAGAGCUCUGGUAAAGCACGUCUGGUUCGGCUCGCUGUUGGCCACGCCACCACUCUCCAAACUAUUUAUUUUUAGCUUGUUCCAUUACAAAUAGAACCUAAAGCAUUUUUAUAUCAAGCUGAACCCAACAAUGUGUCAGGGCUUACCUGAGUUGGAGUCUGUAGCGCAGAUAUAUGUGCUCACCCUUGCAAGUAAACACAGGCCAAGGUGGUCAGGUAAGAAUUCACCUGGCCUGUGAGUCGGUGCACGGGGACUGUGCAGGAUGAUGCUCCAAGUCGCAGUGCAGAUACGGACAUAAACAGGAAAAUCGUCGUUGGUAAGCCAAAGGUCAGUGGGUGCCAGAAAUCAGGAUAAACGAGUAGAGAGCAGAGGUCAGAGGAUGCCAGAAGUCAGGGUACACGAAAUAACAAGCCAAGGUCAGGAAUCAACAGGAGAACACUGGAACACGAAACAGCAAUACUAGAACCAGAGUCAAUGAACUGACACUGUCUUCUGGGAGAGGCAGUGUUUUAAAUCUGGCUAAUCAGUGAUCAGCCACAGGUGAACCAUGAUUGACAGGAGCAGUCUCAGAUAAUGUCCAGCCCCCAGUGCUGGAUACAAGGCAAGAUAGACUUUUGGCUAUAUCUUGAGCUGUAUGGUGGCUCGGAGGCAAAAUAGCAGCCCCAGGACUGCAAAGUACCAUGGUUCAAAUCCUCUGCUGGGCACUCCUGGGGUGACCUCGUCUAGCAGACUGGAUGUCGCGGCGAGAACCGUGACACAAUGUAACUAAACUAACCAACUAAAGGUCAGUUGAGGUCUCAUUUGAGUGCUAGCAGGCUCUCUCUGCUUAGGAGAUAGAGCAAGCACAGAUGACAAUGAUCUUGGCCUUGGUGAGCCUUCUCAGUUAAGCAUAGCAAAUACUGCCAUCGGCACAGUUUUCAAGGGUUCCAUAUUUUAGUUUCUGCUGGGGGAUUCUUGGCAAUUUAAAGACAAACUAAAGCAGAUCAUAAGAGAAUGCUGAAAACAGACAAUAAGUGAAAUGGCCUGCCCUUUGUUGGAUCCAUGCUCAGUUCUAGGUAGUUUUAGGUCAUCUUGUGGCAUUAUAGAUAGAACGUGUACCAGGGAUAGGCAAACUCCAGCAAUACAGAUGUUGUGGACUAAUACUCCGAUAGAGCUCGUAGAGAAAAAAUGCUGGCAAAGCAUCAGUGGAGAUCAGUGGCGGCUCUAGACUUUAUGAGGCCUUAGGCGAAUCUCAAACAAGAGGCCCCCCACUAACACUCAUAGUAAAAAAACAUAUAGGGGUUGCAUCGUGUGUAUAAUGAGCUGUACUUAUAAUGUAUGACAGGCUUGCAGCGCUGGAUACAGAGAGCUUGUCUCUGUAUUCACUGUUGGGGUGAGUGUGGCACGGUUUAAGGAGAAAGUGUGACAAGGCAAGGGGAGGUGAGAGUGACAGGAUGAGUGUGGCAUGUCUAGGCAGGAUGAGUGACAGGAUAGGAGAAGUUAAUGUGAUAGGGUGAAGGGGGAUGAGUUUGACAGGGUUAUGGGUUAUGUGUUGCACGGCUGGAGGAGGGAGUGUGACAAGGCGAGGGAAAGUGAGUCGGACAGGAUUAUGUGUGGCAUGGUUGGGCCCAAGUGAAAGGGUUAAUGUGAAAAAGGAUGAGUGUGACAGGAUUUGGGGUGAGUGUGACAGUAUGAGAGAAGAUGAGUGUGGUAUGAUUAGGGGGAUUAAGGUGAUAGGGUGAGUGUAGAAGAGUGAGGGCCGGUAAUUGUGGUAUGGAUGGAGGGGGUGAGAGCGACAAGAUUAGGAGAGGUUAAUGUGAGCAAGGCUGGGUGAAGGGGGCAUGACAGCAUGUGGGGGGUGACAGUGGGUAGGUAAGAGUGUGGGAGGCAGUGUUGGAAAGGGUGACAGUGUGUGCAGGGGCAGUGUGUGGGAGGGACUGUAUGUAUUGGUGACAUAGUGUUGGGGGCUGACAAUAUGGGGUGUAAGUGUGUGAAAGGGUAACAGGGUGAGAGAGCAGUGUGGAGGAUUGUGACAGUUUUCAAGGCAGGGUGUGAGUGGGUGACAGUGAGGAGGAAGAUGGCAGUGUGGGGUAGCAGUGUGAAGGAUGGCGACAGUGUGGGGGUCAGUGUGUGACAGUGUGGGGGAACAGGGUGUGUUACAGUGUGGGAGGGCAAGGUGUGUGGGACACAGUGUAUUGAGGGCAGGGUGUGUGACAGCAUGAGGGGGCAGUGUGUAUGACAGUGUAGGAGGGCAGGGUGUGUGACCGUGUGGGUGGCAGUGUGUAAGCUGGAGACAGAGUGUGUGGGGGGAGCAGGAUGUGCUACGUGCAAGUAUUUUGUGUGAGAAACUGGGGCAGAGUGUGUGGGGGGCAGGGAAUGUGGUGGUCACUGUGGGUGGCAGGGUAUGUGGGGGUCAGGGUAUGUGGUGGUCAUUGUGGGGGUCAAGGUAUGUGGUGGUCAAUGUGGGGGACAGUGUCUAUGGUGAUCAGUGUGAUGGUUAGUGUGGGGGACAGUGUAUGUUGUGGUUAGUGUGGGGGCAGUGUACGUGGUGGUCAAAGUGGGGGAAUGCUAUAUAGGGGGCAAGUAUGUGGUGGUCAGUGUGGGGGCAGUGUAUGUGGUGGUCAGUGAUGGAGCAGUGUAUGUGGGGGUCAGUAUGGUCGUCUGUGUGGGGAGCAGUGUAUGUGGUGGUCAGUGUAUGGGGAAGGGCAGGGCCGUCUUUAACGCGGGGCAAACGGGGCAGCUGCCCUGGGCCCAGUUACUCCUUGGGGGCCCAAAGCAGCUGCCCUAUUUGCCCCGCCGCCCAUAGCCUGCAUAAGAAAAAUCCCCCCCCCCCCAUGGGCCCGCGGUGCUGGUACUGCGGCUGCACCGGGGCCCAUACUCUAAGGAGGCUCACCGGGUGGCCAAUACAUUUAGGGCCACCCGGUGAGCACGUUUCAGCAGGGGCCCGGUCGGGUGCUGUGACCCUUUAACAGCACGACCGGGCCCCUUGCUUUACAGCAGCACUGGGAGGAAGUGACGUCCGCAAGUCACUUCCUCCCUCAGAGAUGAUGAGCCGCGCGGGAGGGAGCCUGUGCCAGGUCGCAGUGAGGAGGCGGACUGAGCAAAGAGACCAAGUCCCCAACUCCCAACCACCCAAGCCAGCACACUUGACCCCAGGGAAGGUAGGAAACUGGAGGGGGGCUUUAAAGUUUGCAUAGGUGUAUUUCAGUAUGUCUGUGUGUGUGUGUCUGUCAGUAGGUCUAUGUGUGUCAGUAGGUCUGUGUGUCUGUGUGCCAGUAUGUCAGUGUGUCUGUGUGCCAGUAUGUCUGUGUGUCUGUGUGCCAGUAUGUCUGUGUGUCUGUGUGCCAAUAUGUCAGUGUGUCUGUGUGCCAGUAUGUCUGUGUGUCUGUGUGCCAGUAUGUCAGUGUGUUUGUGUGCCAGUAUGUCUGUGUGUCUGUGUGCCAGUAUGUCUACCUGGGUGUGCCACUAUGUCUGUCUGUGUGUGCCACUAUGUCUGUGUGUGUGUGUCAGUAUGUGUCUGUGUAUGCCAGUAUGUCUGUCUGGGUGUAUGCCAGUAUGUCUGUCUAGGUGUGUGUCAGUAUGUCUGUCUGGGUGUGUGUCAGUAUGUCUAUGUGUGUGUCUGUCAGUAGGUCUGUGUGUCUGUCAGUAGGUCUAUGUGUGUGUGUGUGUCUGUCAGUAGGUCUGUGUGUGUGUCUGUCAGUAGGUCUGUGUGUGUAUGUGUGUCUGUCAGUAGGUCUGUGUGUGUGUAGUAUGUCUGUGUGUGUCUGUCAGUAGGUCCCUGUCUGUCAGUAGGUCUGACUGUGUGUGUGUCAGUAUGUCUGUGUACCAGUAUGUCUGUCUGUGUGUGCCAUAAAUAUAUAUAUUUAUAUAUAUAUAUAUAUAUCGAUAUAUGUGUGUGUGUGUAUAUGUGCAUACAUCUCAGCAUUCACACACUAACAUCACAUACAAAUACACACUGGCAUUCAAACUCCAAAACACACGUCUGAGUUACAAACCAAAAUUAUAUGUAAACACACCCCUGCAUUCAAAAACCAACACUACACAUAAAUACAUGCUUGCACGUACGCCAACACCACAUACAAACAUAUUCCAUACAAAAACCUGCUAACAGUCAAACACACAACAGCUUAGUGCUAAAUACAAACCUUCAAACAUGGGUAAAUGGAAGAGCCCCAGCUGUCAGUGCAUUGCUGGAGUUGCACGACAGAUGGGGAUCUACCUUCUAAUCACCCGUGCGAUAGGGAGGCUCAAAAAAAUUCUUGCACCUCUCUACUUUAGGUCUGCCACUUUGUUAGGGUGGAGGACGUGAUUGCACGCCUGGUGAGGGGGGACAGGUUCCAGGGGCCCAAGCAAAUGCUUUGCCCAGGGUCCAAUCAAUAUUAAAGACGGCCCUGGGGAAGGGUAUGUGGUGGUCAGUGUGGUCAUCAGUGUGUGGGGCAGUGUAUGUGGUGGUCAGUGUGGGGGGCAGUGUAUGUGGUGGUCGUCAGUGUGGGGGGCAGUGUAUGUGGUGGUCAGUGUGUGUGGGGGCAGGGAAUGUGACUGGCAGGGCAACGUGGGUGCAGUGUAUGUGGUGGGCAGGGUAUGUGGGUGGCAGGGCAACGUGGGUGCAGUGUAUGUGGUCGGCAGGGUAUGUGACUGGCAGGGCAGUGUGGGGACAGGGUAUGUGGGUGGCGGGGCAGAGUAUGUUGGGGCAGGGCAUGUGGGUGGCAGGGUAUGUGGGGGGCAGGGCAGUGUGGGUGGGAGGGUAUGUGGGGGGCAGGACAGUGUGGGUGGGAGGGUAUGUGGGAGGCAGGACAGUGUGGGUGGGAGGGCAGUGUUGGGGCAGGGCAGUGUUGGGACAGCGCAGUGUGGGAGGCAGGGCAGUGUAUGUGGGUGGGCAGUGAGGGGUGGGAGGGCAGUGUUGGGGCAGUGUGGGUGGGAGGGCAGUGAGGGUGGGAGGGCAGUGUAUGUAGGUGGGCAGUGAGGGUGGGAGGGCAGUGUUGGGGCAGUGAGGGUGGGAGGGCAGUGUAUGUAGGUGGGCAGUGAGGGUGGGAGGGCAGUGUUGGGGCAGUGAGGGUAGGUGGGCAGUGUUGGAGCAGUGAGGGUGGGAAAAUAAAAAACACCUUCCUCAAGCGAUGGGAGGGGGCAGGUACCUAAACGUGCACAUACACACUGACUGGCUCUCACACAUACACACACACUCCGACAGGCUCACAUACACACUCAUGCAAUAUGUGAAUAUUGAGAAGGGGUAAGGGCCAAGCUAUAUGGGAGUGCAUGCAUGUAUAUACUGAUAUACUGUAUAUACUGAUCAAAAUUAUAAACGCAACACUUUAGUUUUUGCCCCCAUUUUUCAUGAGCUGAACUCAAAGAUCUGAGACUUUUUCUGUACACAAAAGGCCUAUUUCUCUCAAAUAUUGUUCACAAAUCUGUGUUCGUGAGCACUUCUCCUUUUGCCGAGACAAUCCACCCACCUCACAGGUGUGGCAUAUAAAGAUGCUGAUUAGACAGCAUGAUUAUUGCAAAGGUGCGCCUUAGGCUGGCCACAAUAAGAGGCCACUCUAAAAUGUGCAGAUGUUGCAGGUUUUGGGGGAGCGUGCAGUUGGCAUGCUGACUGCAGGAAUGUCCACCAGAGCUGUUGCCCUUGAAUUGAAUGUUCAUUUCUUUACCAUAAGUUGUCUCCAAAGGUGUUUCAGAGAAUUUGGCAGAACAUCCAACCAGCCUCACUGCCGCAGUCCACGUGUAAGCACACCACCCCAGGACCUCCACAUUCAGCAUCUUCACCUCCAAAAUCGUCUGAGACAAGCCAACCGGACAGCUGCUACAACAAUGGGUUUGCAUAACCAAAGAAUUUCUGCACAAACUGUCAGAAACCAUCUCAGGGAAGCUCAUCUGCAUGCUCAUCGUCCUCAUCGGUGUCUCAACCUGACUUCAGUUCAUUGUCAUAACCAAGUUGAGUGGGCAAAUGCUUACAUUCGAUCGCGUCUGGCACCUUAAAGAGGUGUUCUCUUCACGGAUGAAUCCCGGUUUUCACUGUACAGGGCAGAUGACAGACAGUGUGUACGGUGUCCUGUGGGUGAGCAGUUUGCUGAUGUCAACGUUGUGGAUCGAGUGGCCCUUAAUGGCAGUUGGGUUAUGGUAUGGGCAGGUGCAUUUUAUUAAUGGCAUUUUGAAUGCACAGAGAUACCGUGACGAGAUCCUGAGGCCCAUUGUUGUGCCAUUCAUCCACGACCAUCACCUUGUGUUGCAGCAUGAUAAUGCACGGCCCCAUGUUGUGAGGAUCUGUACACAAUUCAUGGAAGCUGAAAACAUCCCAGUUCCUGCAUGGCCAGCAUACUCACCAGACAUGUCACCCACUGAGCAUGUUUGGGAUGCUCUGGAUCGGCGUAUAUGACAGCGUGUUCCUGGUCCUGCCAAUAUCCAGCAACUUCGCACAGUUAUAGAAGAGGAGUGGAUCCACAGUCCACAAUCAACAACCUGAUCAGCUCUAUGCAAAGGAGAUGUGUUGCACUGCUUGAGGCAAAUGGUGGUCACACCAGAUACUGACUGAUAGUGAUGCACCGAACGGUUCGCUGGCGAAUAGUUCCUGGCGAACAUAGCAUGUUCGCGUUCGUGACAUCACUACUGACUGAAUUUCGGACCCCCCGGACCCUCCCAAUACAGUAAAACUGCACAUUUUAGAGUGGCCUUUUAUAGUGGCCAGCCUAAGGCACACCUUUGCAAUAAUCAUUCUGUCUAAUCAGCAUCUUGAUAUGCCACACCUGUGAGGUGGAUGGAUUAUCUCUGCAAGGGAGAAGUGUUCACUAACACAGAUUUAGACAGAUUUGUGAACAAUAUUUGAGAGAAAUAGGCCUUUUAUAUACAUAGAAAAAGUCUUAGAUCUUUGAGUUCAGCUCAUGAAAAAUGGGGCAAAAACAAAAGUGUUGCGUUUAUAAUUUUGUUCAGUGAAUAUAUAUAUAUAUAUAUAUAUAUAUAUAAAAUGUAAAAUUUUAAAAUUUGCUUUUGGUGGGGGACAGCAUCCAAAGUAUACUACUGUGUAGUGUGUGUAUACCUAAUACAAAUCAGACUUGUGAAUUCAUUUUUUUUCCGAAUUACGAUUAGGCCAAAUUUAGGAUGCUCAGCGUGUCCUUCUAAUUAUGUAACUCUGAGAGCGAUAUAGAAGUGUAACUGAACCAAUAACUUGCACAAUGGAGAAGCAUGUUUUUGAUUCAUGAUGAUUCUAUGUUCUCUCUGUGGCACCAAACAAAGAAAACAUGGAAAAACAUGAUUGCUGAUUAGAGGACAAUCAUGAAAUGUUCAUUGUGUUCGGAGAUAGUGAGAAGCUGAACCAUCACAUAGAAAAAUAUUAGACUACCCAAACAAAGUGGGGUUUUUGUUUUGGACAAAAUGAUUCAGUCAUACUAAUUGCACAGGACUAAUUAAUGUACACAUUUAAUAGGUUUUUAAAUAUGUUUAUACAUCCAUAUCCAACAUAUUUAUUUCUGCCUGUACCCAUCAAAUUGGCAAAACAAGAGACUCUUUAACAUAAGGCCAGGUCUGUUACAGGUCAAAAGCUAGUGAAUGUUAUGCUCAUCACUUAGAUCCAUUUAAAUUAGAUUAUGUUUAUUCAGUUGUCAGCGAACCAGGAUCAUUUUCUCUUUUCAGUCAUUUCAUUGGACAUCCUACUUGGCAGACUCAGAGCAUCCCAAAGCUUUUUAUAUCCAUAGUUACCAUUAUUUAUUGAAAACCAAGUUAAUAAAAGAAACAUUUUGGAAAUUCAACCCCUCAGUGUAACAAUGGUGUACAGACAAUGUUCAGUUUCAAAGUGCGAUAGUUAUGAGCAAACAUGCAUGAUGAUUUAAAUGUUUUUCUCACUGUCAGACAAUUCUUGCUGCCAAAAAGGUAGCAAACAACUCCACUUUGUAUAUUAACUAAGCUUUCAAUUUUUCAACAGAGUCUCCCAAAUGUGGUUCAAAAUCUCACCAUGACAUUGACUUUGGGCAAAACUUCAGUUCCAUAUUGAUGAUAUUUAUUACAAACAAUAUGCAAGUGUUACAGGCUGGUAUCCAGGGAGCUGUGCUUGAUGACAGCCGUAGGUUCUUCUAUAGUAGGUGACAGCCGUAGGUUCUUCUGGAGUAAUCCGGUUCACUGAUAUGAAUUGACAAUCAGAUUUGAAAAAUUUACUCCUAAGUAACCAAGUUGAAUACAUUUCUUAACUCAUUUAUAUUCCUGACUCUAUUGGGGAAAAUGUUCAAGUUUGAUUUCCAUUUCACAAUAAUUUAUUAUUUAG
rnacentral:lncRNA from 1 species